UUUUUUUUAGGUAUUUGGAUAUUGAUCUUAUUUAUAUUGGUUGAUUUAAAAACUUAAAAUCCAAAAGUUGUUAUUAAACCAUAUCUAUCCCUAAAAAAAAUUAAAGAUUAUCCAGAAUAAAAAAAUCUGAGAAAAAUUCAUAUCAUCUCUAUCAACCUUCAACAACAAAAAUCCGAGAAAAAUUCCAAAAGAAAAUGAAGAAAACCUAACGUUUUUGAAUUAAAACUAACGAAAAUGACCAAAAUGUGUAAUAGAGAGAAGUUAAGAUACCAAAAUAAAUCAAAUUUUAAUUAAGGGACCAAAACGAUAUUAAUUAAAUAGUUAAGGGACCAAAAACAUAAUUUAACAUUUUUUUAAUAUUUAAAUUUAUUCUUAUAUAUUUGUUACAUGUGUUAUUUAUAUUGAAAAUUGAGGAUAUUUUUUGGAAAGAAAAAAUCAGCCCAAAAGAGCUGAAAGGAUUGUUUUCUUUAUAUAUAUUAUAGAUUUAUAUGUAUUAGCGCAAUAAAAAGAGCGGAUAGACGGACACACGGUGCCCGUCUGAACGCUAGUUAAUAUGUCUCCAGGCAUUUAUUAAGGACUUUAAAUAGUAAAUUUCUAUGAAAAAUUGCAUAUUUAAUGCAUUGGAAUUUAAAGUAUUUGAUUUAUUUAAUUUUAAAUUCUUAAAGAGUGUUAUAAAGGCAUUUAUUAAGGGAAAGGUUAAUAUGUCUCCAAGCAUUUAUUAGAAUUUUUUUUUUCUGCCCUUGUUUGUGUCCAAAAAUAUAAAAAUGCCCCACUUUUGCAAAAAAUUGCAUAAAUGUCCUACUUUUCAGAAUUUUCUGGUACCUUGCAACCCCCACUUGCGGGGUACCUUUAAAAAUUUUAACUACCCCGCAAGUCAAACCAGCGUGACAUUUUUCGAUUUUUUUUUUUAAAAAAAUUAACUACCCCGCAAGGUACACUUGCGUGACAUUUUUUUUUUUUUUUUUAAAAAAAAUUAAAAACACCUUGCAACCCCCACUUGCGGGGUAUAUUUAAAAAAAAAUUAAAUUUUUUUUAAUACCCCGCAACCCCCACUUGCGGGAUUUUUUUUGGUUUUUUUUUUUAUUUUUAAAAUACCACUCUAAACAAAAAAAAUACCACAAUAUCUACGAUUAUUAUCAAACAUGUAUUAUUUCAUCUACUAUAAAUACUUCGUUUAAUUUUUCAAUUUAUCAUACCAUUUUAACUUAUAUUAAUAAUGUAAAUUUAGGCGUUGACAAAAAAGUAAUUAUAAUAAUAAUCAUAAUAUUUACAAAAUUAAAAACAUACGAAAUACAAUAAAUAUGAAAUAAAGACUAGAGUUCUACUGAUGUCUAAUAUUAAUGCAAUCUUUGCGGGAAUGAUCGGGCAUCCUACAAACGCCGCAUCUUCUCUCAGUUUCCACAUCGUCCAUUUCGGUCCUAAUGCGAGUAAUUGGUGGACGACCUUUCUUUGCCCUACGCAUAGACUUGUCGGGAACCACCUUCAGUCCUUCAUAAUUAGGCCAAUAUGUCUGGUGGUGAACCACGUCGAAGUGGAUGUUGUAUACGGCGUAUACACACUCAUUCGUGAAUUUGUUAUCGACAAAAGUCUUGUAGUCAUGACAAAAGCUAGAACAUGCGGCAAUGACAUGUGAGCAUGGUAGGUGUAACGCUCUGAAUCGUCCACAAUCACACCAUUUAUUUUGCAGGUCUACCUUGUAUUCUCCCUUUGGUAAUCCUUCUCUAUGGUCGAUGGUUUCACGGACGGAAAAGGUAUACCGAUCCCGAUCAAACUGAGUGACAUGAUGACUGUUGGAUUUAAUCACCUCAUUCCUCAGAUAUUUCAUGCUGUUUUCUGAGAAUGGCUCACCAGAAUUUACCCUUGUCGCUGCCUCAUGUCCUCUUUUAGCAAACAAGGCCGCCAACCUGUAAUAUGAUGCUUUCACAAUAGAUGUGAUCGGGAGUCCUCGAAUACCCUUAUACACGUUAUUUUGUGACUCUACCAAGUUACUUGUCAUAUGGCCCCAUCGUCAUGUGAUUGAGUCCACUUUUGUUUGGGAAUAUUGUCGACCCAUGCUAAAGCCUUUCGGUCUGCAACAGCAAUUUCAGAACGGUAAUAUUCGAAUGUAGGGAUGUUCAUGGCGUAACCUGCAUUGUUUGGGAAAAAGUUAGAUGUGUCUUUUUAAACAAAUAAUAUGUCGAAUUUACGUGGAAAGAGAUAUGAUUUUUACCCAUGCCUUCAACUUUCUUCUUAAGUUCUCCAUCCUUGAAUGAUCUCAUAAAGUUUUGUGCAAUGUGUCGGACACAAUACACAUGGCUUGUCAGAGCACCGUGCCAUCCAUUUUGUGGAUCAUCAUACGCGCUCUUUAUCGACACAUGUCUAUCAGAAAUGAGGCAUAUGUUCUCCUGUGGGGUGACAUGCUGCCUUAGAUUCUUCAAAAAGAAACUCCAAGCCUCCUUGGUCUCGCCUUCCACGAUUGCAAAAGCAAUGGGAAAUAUCUUGUUGUUCCCAUCUUGCGCAACAGCUAACAACAAUGUUCCUUUGUAUUUACCAUACAACCAAGUUGCGUCAAUUUGGACAAUGGGUUUGUAGAAUUCGAAACCUAAGAUGCACGGACGAAAGGCCCAAAAGAGACGCUUGAAGACGAUCUCAUUUACCACUUCUGUUGAUGGGACUGUUUGAAAAUCAAUUAUUGUUCCUGGCAAAUCUUUUUCCAUGACCAUCAACCACUGUGGUAGUUCUUGAUAAGACUCCUCCCAAUUACCAUAAAUUGAUUCAAUCGCCUUAUUCCUUGCUCUCCAUGCCUUUCUGUAUGAAACUGUGUAAUUAAACUUCUCUCGGAUGUGUGCAAUUAUAACCUUCACUGUAAUUGAAGUAUUCAUAUGUAGCAAGACCCGUCAAAUAAUAAUGGUAAAACAAUGCGAAUAAUCUUGACAAAAAAACAAUGAGAAUACCAUGAAAGACAGGUUGUGAAGGGGAUGUUGGAACUUGGAACUUCUCAUAACUGGUUUUCUGGCAACAUUGUUCACUUUUUGUGGUUGUCCAGAACGUUGUUGCGGUUACUACUAAUAAUAAUGCAGAGCUUAUUUUCUGCAUUUUAUUGGGUUUUCAUGAUUUACAUUUGUGUCCUAUGUAUUUUGAAUUGAACUCCAAAAUAGCUAUUGAUAGUUUUCAUUCUAACAUGGUAGAUCUCAUUGAGUUUGGUGAUAUAAUGUGCAACUAUAUGCGUAUAUUUUCUCCUUUCAAAAAAAAAAAAAAAAAAGAACAUCGUGUUGAGUUUGUAAAAAGACAAGCAAAUGAGAUCGUCUAUCUCCUUACCAACGCGUCCACAUCUCUAGCUAGUUUUCAAAUUUAUGUUAAUGUGCAAGUUAUUGACUCUAAAAAGCUAUAUUUGAGGCAUAUAAUAUAACCAUAUAAAGAUCUCAAAAUAUUUAUAAUGUCCAUCAUAUAAAGUUUUAAACUAGAAAGAAAGCUGCUCAUAGGGAGAAAAUGAGCUCAUUGAUUCAUAACCACAUUCUGAAAGGUUGUCCAAAAAAUAUAGCUAGUUAUUUCAAACCACUAAAAACUUCAACAACAAAAAAAACUCCCAAGGAUAUGAUGUUCUAAAAACCAAACCUUUCAGCCAUAUUUCUAUAGUUAAAAAAAAAACAAAACAAUAACCUUCUUCAGCCAUAUUUCUAUAGUAAACUUUUGUUAAUUCCACCAGUUCCAGUUGCAAAAAAGGAAAUUCGUCUAAUAUCCCUUCUUCAGCGCCUGUAUAUAUUUGCUGAAUAUUUUUAACUAUACUGCCAAGCUAGUUGAGUAAAUUGUGUUCCAAAAGAAGAACUGUAUUAUGUAUCAAAAGAAAGAGUUUGUUGCCUUUGGCCUCCACUGUUCUAACUCUGUACUCCUGUAUUUGUUUCUGAAACUAAGUCACUUCCUAUUUAUCAUUUUCCAUUGGAAAUGCAAAUGGACUGUCGGGGAGAUUGAGUCCUUCGUUGCUGCAUAAAAUUACAAACAUAAAUAUAUAAAUAAAUAAAUAGAUAAAUAUUAUCGUCAUCAUCAUAGUUAGCGAUAAUUGUAGCAAUCAUACUGCAUGUAAGGAGACAAAUAUUGCCAUCAUUCACUAUUGUCAAUUGCAGAUCGCGGAAAAUAGCAGUUUGUUCAAAAUAGCACAACUAUAGCUGCUAUUUCACAAUGUGUUGUACUAAUAGCAUAUCGCAAAACAAUGGACAUAUGUUCAAAUUUGACUGUGCAAUAGCGCACUAUAGCGGCCAGUGAAAUUGUAAACAAAAAACUUGUUAUUUGAGAGGAAGAAUGUGAAGAAAUUAUAACAAAGGCAUUGCAAAAGAUUGUGGGAGAGAUAAAUUCAAUUAAAAAUUGGUGCAUACCUAUUCCCUCCAGAGGAAUCGGUGUCAGUAUUCUUGGUGUUGUUAUUCAACGCAUGAUUUAGAGGUUCCACAGCCUGGAAAUUGAAAUGAUCUGCAUGAGAAACUAUUUCAAUUAGCAUAACAACGAAGGAUGAGUAAAACAUAUAAGUAAAAUUGAAAUCUACUUAACGCAUAUAAAUUAAAUCUAUGGUUCAAUCUACAUUAUAACAUACCAUCUGGAACUCUUAACGCAUCCAUGGGAAACCCAAAAUGAGGUGAAAUGGGAAAAGGUCGUCGGGUAAAUUGCAGCUGCGCAAGACGUCUCCUUUGCAAUUCAAAAGCUUGUUCCUGCUCUUCCAUCAACUGUCUACUUAGAGAUCUAUGGUUCCCAUAACUUCUUGGAACUGCAUAUAUCACAAAAAGUAAUUCAAAACAACUCCAAUCACAGAGGAAACCGGUAAGUUCUUUUUUUAUAUAUAGAAUCUAAUCAGACGAAAGCUAUAACUUGUUCUACAUUGUUAACCGGAAGAAGAAAAACAAUUAGGUUAUAAACUAGAUUGUAUCAUACUUGAGUCAAGUUCGGAGUCGAUAUUUGCAAAGUGAUGUGGACAACAAACAGAGUGCUCCAUUCUAUCAUGGUACCUCCUGAAAUACAUACCUAAGUUAAUAAUUAUGAAAGAAAAUUUUCAUCAUAGGAACCAAAAUUUUCUAUUUGUCAGUGUGUGUGUGUGUCAGAGAGAGAGAGAGAGAGAGAAUACUAGUCUUUGAUUUUCAAAUAAUCAUAACUUUGCAUAUUUUAGGUUUAAGCCUUUGUAAUGUUUAAUAAACCAAGAUGCAAUACCGUUCAAACUUGUAUAAUCUAUGUUGUGUAGCUCUGAAGUCAAUAUGCCAAUAACUGUAUCCAGUACUCAUGGAAACAUAUUACUACGUACAUAUUUAAAAGAUGCCUUUGUCGAUUAGUAAAAUAUUUUAAAAAAAUUCCUUAUUACAUACAAUGUACACUCUUUCCCUAGUUCUGGAAAUAUAAAUAGAAAAGUAUGAAUUAAAUGAGCCCAAAUCAAUGUAGUCAGGAUCGAUAUCCUAAGUAGGACCGGUCAGCUGGUGAAAACACGAGGAACGUAACACGAUUUGUAAGUAGGAUUGGUAGGUUGUUGAUAGAGUUGAGAGAAAAAACAGAGAAAAUAGAGGAAUAACAGAGGAACCAAACAAAAAAAAACAGAGAAAAUAGAGGAAAAACAGAGGAAACAAGCAAAAAAAACAGAGAAAACAGAGCAUACGGAUGAAAACAAAGCAGAAACGAACCUGAGUAAAGUCGAAGCACGAUUGAGGUGCCGUGGGAAGUAGGAUCGUACGAUCCUACAAACCAGCUCUCAAUCCUGACUACAAUGGCCCAUAUCUUUUUUAUACACCUCACAACAUUUAAAAACUAUAGUAAUUGAGAGAAUAACUGGAGAAAGGAAACGGAGAGGAUUCUAACUCACCUAUUUCUCCUAUACAAGUAACCUUUCCAUAUUUCCGGUUGAAAAUAUCCUCUUAUUCUAACUUUCCAGUUUUCAUAUAUUUUGGAGUUCUGUUCUGAUUUGCGUUGCAAUUAAUUAGAAAAGACAGUUCCUUCUAUAACUUGGUCAUAUUUAUAUAGGAAUUUUUUUUUUUUUUUUUUGCGGACGCAUACCUUACUUUUCAAUGCAAACUUGUUUUGCAUACAUGUGCCGCAGACACUUAGUGACCAAGAUACCAUAACUUAACAAGCAUAAAUUCUGAAUAAUAGAACAGGUGCGAGUGCGAUAUACAUGUUCUAUGGUCUUAGUCUAGACUCUCCGUAUUUAAUAUAAUUUCAAAAACUAAAAAUACGUGAAAAAACAAAAUUUUGCGUAAACAAGCUAAACAUCAUAAAACAGUGACCAUUAAUAAGGAGCUAUACUAUAUAAAUCAUUCAACAACCAUCAUAAAACCUAAACAUGACAGUGAAAAAUCCACUUGAACAGUGACAAUAUUAUCAUCCCCUUUGUCAAUAAUCAAUGAAAAGAAUAGACCCCGAUUCAUCACGAGAAACAGUGGCAACUUCAAGAAUGGGAGUCCCUUCAAACAUUUUUUGAGAAGAGAUGACAAUUUGUAUGUGUAAAAAACUAAAAACUAAGUUUUAGCUCUCUUACGGCUGAGCUUAAACAUUUUUUGAAAAAUAAUUUUGAUAAAUAUGUGGUAUGUUGCCAACGCGUGCCAUAUAUAGAUAUGUGCCUACUAUGUGUACAACUUCAAAAAAAUGGUGUGCAAGAGGAUGAACUAAGAACAAGAGAAUAAACACCGAGGAAUAAGCAUUCAUCAUACUAGAAAACUAUAGACAAUAUAGACGGCAAUACAGACAUUUCCCAUUUAAAUCAGAAGCAUAAACUUUCAUUUUGCAACAUGAACAGAAAAUAAUUAUAAUUACAAGAUUAAAUGAGAAUUUGAUGCCAUAAAACGAGAAAACAAAACCUUUAUUAUCGAAAAGAAAAGACAUGGAAUUCUGACCUUUCAACAACCUUUGUCUUCUCCCUGUAAGGUUUCACAAGCACACGAGAGCCACGAACAUAAUGAGGAUUUCCCUUGUCCAAAAUCAUUCUCACGGUUUCUGGAUCAGCAAAUGUUACAAAGCCAAACAUUCUUUUCUGCUGGCAUGGAAUCCUAACAUCUUCAACAUAUCCAAAUGCGCUGCAAAGAAAAAAUAUGUGAAACCAAAUUUACUAAUACGUAUAAUUAGCUGCAACAAACAAGUGUCAAUAAGCAUAGAUACACCAAAAAAUGCAAUAAUUUACUUGAAGUAUUCUGCGACAUCCUCUUCAGUGAAAGUGCUGUCAGCUGGAAAAGUCAAAUAUAUUUGUCGGGACGCACUGAUAUUUUGAACAGAAUCUCCCUUUUGAAUGUAUUUUGGAGCAUCUUCAGCUAGAACCACUGCAUGUUGUCCGUGAGGCCUGUAAAUCAACCAUGGAAAAUUUCAAACUAGAGCAAGAGACAUUUGAAUGCAUACACAUAUACAUACAUAUAUAUACAUAGGUUUUAUAAAUUUCACCUGUCAAUUAGCCGAAUACUAUUGAGUCGCGCGAGAAGCUUUGUCAAACUAUAGCCAGACUUGCCAUGUCGCUGGCUCUCCGUUAAAUAACCAUGUGCUUGCAGUACCUUUUUAUAUUUAUCAUAGUAUGCCAUCGGCAGCGAAGCAAUUGACAUUGGAUUUCCUCUUCUCUGCUUUAAAAGCUCAAUAAUUUCAGACUCUAUCUGAGCUAGUGACCCUGGUGAAAUCACCGGAUCCUCAUUACUAGUGUUAUCAUUAUUUCCAUGCAUAUGAGAGAAACUCUCAUGAGGAACUUGGCCAUGAAAAUAUCUACAGUUACCUCCAUGCCUACAGUAACCUUUACUGAAAUAAUGACAGAUCUUGAGUGGAAAUUCAGACAUGCUUGAAUUUGAAAACCUCUUUGUAGCUUUUCCCCCAAAAUUAACAGCAGAAGAAUCUAAGCCAUUGUUGUAUUCAUUAACAACAAGACCUCGAGUUCCGGUAUUUACAUGAUCCAAAUGAUUCUCCAAACUCAGCAAUUGUGUUUGUUUUUGAAGUUCUACAAGAGAAUCCAUGUAAUUCAUUCCCGUAAAUUCAGGAUUUGCAUUGCUGGUAGAUUGUGGAUCCCAAUAGGAAGAUGGAACUUGAAAGUUCAGCGGUGAAGACGGAGAUAAUGCCGGAAAAUGGCUUAAACCUUGUUGAGGGUUGACAUUAGGUGGCGGAAUUGGCAUCAUGGUUGAAUUAACAGCCAACAUUUGAAGGGCCUUAAAGACGACUUCACCGAUGAUGUGGUCAGGACAAGAAGCCAACCUAGCCAUUUCUUGUUCGCCAUUGUCUUGUAAAAGAAGAUAGCCAAUUAUCUUUCUAGCAUUUUCAGGCUCAAAUUUCUGAAUUUUAUCAAAUACAAUUCUUGUGUACUCUGAUAUAUCCAUAGCUCUUAUCUUGCUAAAACUGAAAAAAUAAAAACAAAAUUUAGUGAAUACUGAGAAAGCAAUUAGCAUAAUUUAGCAAUAAAAAAAAAAUGAAAUACAAAAAAAAAAAAAAAAAAAAAAAAAAUAGAGACUAAUGUUGAAUGAAAAUUGCAGAACUUUUAUACCAUAAAACAAUUGACUAGACAAAAAUAACACAAAUUCUGAGGAAUAAAUCCAACAGAAACAAGUUAAAAUAAAAGUGAUGUUUUCUACAAAAGAAGACACCCAAUCACCUAAAGACACAGAAAGAAACAUAGAUUCGUAUGACACAUACAAAUUACUGAAUUUUGCAAAAUAUACUAUUUACCUAAAUUUUCUCUGACAUCACACAAAAGGAAGCAAAUUUAAUGCAGAGCAGAAAAGGGCUAUAACAUGAAAAUAGCAAAUCACACUUUUUCUCUGACAAAAAUUCAAAAUUUCCAAAAACCAACAAUAGAAAACAACUAACCUAGAUCAUCAUUAACAUUUCAUGAUUGAAAUUCAAAGAUACAAAAAAAAAAAAAAAAAAAAAAAAAAAAAAAAUCAACAUGCAGAUAAAUUAUUUUCAUUUCAAAACAACCCUCAACAAUAAUCAACCAUUCAAAGAAAAACAGAACAUCAAAAUCACCAACACUAUCAUUCAUUUCAAGAAUAAAAUCUAAAGGUACAACCUUUUUCACCAUGCAAACAAAGAGGUUUAAUUUCAACCAACCCAUAUUCAUAAUAACAAUUCAAAACACAGAAAGAAAAGAAAAAAAUUAACACCAAAACCCAACAAAGAACAAAACUUUUGCAACAUGCAUACAAAUUGGUUCAUAACAAAACAACCCUUUUACAAAUCAACAGUCAAAAACCAGAAAAGAAAAAAAAAUCAAAAAACAAAAAACACAAAAACAUUAAAACAGUAAAAUAAACAAAAUCUGGAAAGAAACAUACCCAUGAAACAGAAAGAUGAAAAAGAACAGAACAAUGCUUGAAGAACAGGAACACAGUGUUUGAAGAAGAACCAACCCUUUUUCUCUCUCUCCAACAAAACGCACUGAGUGACUGAAGUAAGUAUAAGUAGUACUAGAGGAGAGUGAUAAGUGUGAGAGUGUUAAGUGUAUUUAUUUUCGGUUUUGAUAAUAAAGAUUCAAACUUUAUAACUAGAGGUGUCAAAUAGUUUGUGAUUUGACCCAAAAUUAUUUCCUAAAUUCUCUCUUUUUUUUUAUAACCGCUUGGAACUGCUCAUAUACUGAAACAAAAUAAAAACCCCUUUUUUUGAUAGCUACUAAAAAAUAAAAAAUAAAUCUUCUAAAAAGAUUAAUAAUAAUAAUUCUGAAAAUUCAAUGUGCUAAAUUUAAGGGUUCAACUCUUCAAUUGCCACCACCUCUUCAAAAAAUAUCUCUUCAAUUGACACAUCAAUUUCGGUAAAUAAGGUUAUGUGUGUUUAUAUGUUGUUUUCUUAAUUCUUAAGCAUGUUUGUAUUAAGAGAAUAAUGUAUGUUUAAUUUAUUUGACCAAAAUAUGUUUAUAUUGAAGUUUAAUAUUUUUUUAUCAAAGAAAGUUUAGUAUUUUAUUUUAUAUUAGUUAUUUUUUUGACCAGAUUGUAUGUUUCAGUUUAUUUUAAGAAGAAUGCAUGUAUGAAUUUUUUUUUCUUAAAGAAGGAAGUAGUUUUUAAGUUUUUAUUUUUGACCAAAAUAGGUUUAUGUUAAAUUUUUGUAUUUUCUUUUAAAAUAGUUAUUAUUCAGAUUUUUUUACUCCCUCAAAAAUAAUAUUUUAAAUUUUAAAAAUUUGACUAAAGUUAAAGUUUAGUGUUUUCUUUUGAAAAAGUGAGAAUGGAAAAUUAUUUGAAGAUAGGCUGAAAUUUAAAAUUUAUAAUAAAAAUCCAUUUUCCAUUAUAAAAAUGACGGUCAAUUUAAAAAUAUAUAUAAUAUAACAUAUAUCAAUAUCAAAAUGAUAUUGUCAAAAAAAAUCAACAUCAAAAUGAUCAUUUUUUUAAUCAAAAACAAAGAGGAACUGAAAUGAUAUUUAUUUAAAAAUAUUGUCAAUAAAAAAAAAAAAAAAAAAAAGGAAUUUAAUAAAGAGAUGGACCCUUAGUGAAUAUGGAGCACUAAAUAUGAUUUUGUGAAACUCAAAUCUUAUAGAGCGGGGACCAAAGGAAAGGAGGGAAAAUGUACACCUUGGAAAGAGGCUAAGGCUUUGGUUGUGUUUGGAACAUUUCAAUUUGUUUGGGAGGGAACCAUAGAAUAGGACAAUGCCAACAUCUUUAAAAAUUAAAAAUGUACAAAAGUUACAUAAAUUCAGUGUCACUCAUCCAACUUGAUCAAUGGUCCACUCUUUACCCUCCAUGACUUCCUUGUGGGGUCUGUUGCAUUUCUUCGAGGGCCCACAACAUCCAAGCAUUUUAUAUUAGGUUUAAUUGCAUUUUCCCCCCUAUCUUUUGUUAAUUGUGCGAUUUUGCACCCUCUCUUUUUUUUAGCGAUUUUGCAUCUCAUCUUUUGCCAAAUGUUUUUUGUUCAAAAUAAUCAUUAAAGAGGGGAAAGGGUGCAAAAUCGCUCAAAAAAAAAGGGUGCAAAAUCGCACAAUUAGCCAAAAAAAAUAGGGGGGAAAGUGCAAUUAAACACAAGAAGAUCCAUCAAAUGAGAAAGGGGACAAAAAGAUGGGAUGCAAAAUCGCUAAAAAAAAAGGGGUGCAAAAUCGCACAAUUAGCAAAAAAUAGGGGGAAAAGUUCAAUUAAGCCUUUAUAUUAAUUGAUAAUUAUAGAGUAAUGAUAUAUGUACAACUCUUUGUUGAUAACUUUUGUGACAACAUUUUCUUUCUCUCAUCUUAUUGAUCAAAAAUAAUAGAAAGAGAAAAAUGAAGAGAGAAUAAGAACGUCAUGUGAGUAUGAGAGAGAGGGUUGUCAAAAAAGUUAUCACAAAAUGGUUGUACAAAUAUCAGUUCUCUAAUUAUAAUGCAUUAGUUAUAAGUGCAUUUAUUAAGAAUAAAAAAAUAGAGAUAAUUGUUAAAUUUUAAGUAGAAAUAAAUUCUUUUUAAUAUUUCAAUAAGUUGAAUACACAAUUUUUAAUAGAGUUUUUACUUUAAGUUUCUAAACAAUUUCCCUAAUUUUAAUUAGAAUUUAAUUAGUAUAUCAUCUCAAUAUGCCAUUAUUUUACACUUGAAUCGAAUCAUAUGUUGUUACGCUGCCAUUUUAUAACCACAUGUAUUCUGCCAUUUUAUGUUAUUAACAUUAUUGUUAUGUUCCCAAAUUAUUUAUAACCAUGUGUACUCUGCCAUUUUAUGUUAUUAACAUUGAUGUUGUGAUUUUGUUCACAUAUUCGUCUUUUUUCCUUUUUAGCGACUUUGAAUUUGUAUUUGUAUCGUUGUACUUUAUCAUUUUGAAUGAAUAUCAUUUAUGUUCAUAAAAAAAAAUACUAUUAUGUAUAAAAUAAUACUCCCUCCGUCCCUAAUUAUAAGAUCCUUUUGCUAAAAUCACGGGAAUUAAGAAAGUGAAUAUUUGUAUUAAAGUUGUUUGUAAUCACUAUUGUUUUUACAAUUUUGUCCUUAAGAGAGAGAGUUAGUUUAUGUUUUCCAUAUGCUACUUAUUGCUGAUUGAAGAAAAAGAUGUAUAAUAAAUAGGGGCAUGUAUGUAAAGAAAUAAUUAAUGUAGUUGGAAAUAACAAAGGGGUCUUAUAAAAGGAGACAACAAAAAUUCUCAAAAGGAUCUUAUAAUUAGGGACGGAGGGAGUAUAAUUUAACAUAAAUGAUAAACAAAUACAACAUCAUGUGUAGUUUUAACAUUUCAACAUUAAAACAUGGGCAAUUUGCUAAAAAUGAAACCUACUCUAUUCCUUCUCCUAUCUUUGUGUAUUCGUUUAUCUCUUCAGGCCUGAGAGAACAAGCCCAAAUUCGUAUAUAACUACGGCGAGAGAGAACUUAGCCCAUAUUCGUCCUCACCACCAUAGACCCGUUCAAAACUCACACAAAAAUAGGAUCGAUCGAAGAAAGACGACAUCAGUGGACGAUGAGAAACUAGAGAGAGAGAGAUGUUGUAGCGAACAAUCUUGCAAGAGAAGGAUGAGAGAGAGAGAGAGAGAGAGAGAGAGAGAGAGAGAGAUGGUGUUGAAGGAGAGAGAAGGAAAUGAAAUAAAAAAAAAUGUAUAAUUCUAUAGUGUCACACGGUGGGUGUAUUGUAUUUGGUUUUUUGUGUUGAAUUAUGAUAUUUGGUAAAUUAACUAAAGGAAAUGCUAACAAGUGCAUUUAGAGAAUGUUUAAAAAAGUUUAAAAAGAAAGUUUUGUCUUAGAAAUGAUCCAAUCAACACGUUGAAAGUUUAAAAAGUAUUUUUUUUUAUAAAACUUAUAAAUUAUUUCUAUUUUUGAAUCCUUAACAAAUGUCCUAAGACACUUGUUAGCAAAACUCUUUUACUUAAUAUGCAUCAAUUGUCGGUGUGUAAUAAUAUUACAUAAACAUACAAUUACCUAUUGUCACGUUAAUUAAUAAAUAUGAAAACAUGUGACUUGUCAUAUUUAUAUAGUACCGCGUCAUUGGAUGGUUGUGUAAAAUGAUUUUACAUUAUCACCAUAUAAUAAUUAAACUCUAAAUAAUACGAAAGUAUGAUAUUAUUCAAUAAAUGAUCAAUUAUAAUAUUAUUCAUACACACAAUAAUGUAUCAUACAAUGUAUUGUUUAUUUAUGAUUAUUCUUUUGUUUUCAAGUAGUCUAGUGGAUAUAAUUUCUCUUUUUAAGAAGAAGUGGGUGUCUGGGGAACGAACUACGACCACUGCAUAUAUUAUGCAAUAUCCAUACGAACCGAGCUAAGUUCAAGGGGACAUUAUUCUUACUAUUAGUCUUAGUCAAAAUAAAAGUUAUUUUCGUUAUAAAAAAAGAUAAUUGAUUUCCUUAUCAUUAUUGAAGAAAUGCAAACGAGGCUAGCUUCUUGGAAAAACAGAUUGUUAAACAAACCUGACAGAAUAACUAUUGCCUCAUAUAUUCUUUCCUCCAUUCCAUCUUACUAUAUACAGAUUGUUUGGCUCCCUCAACAUUUGUGACAACAAAGAUCAAAUCAUCCGUAAUUUUGUUUGGAGAGAUAGUAACAACAAAUGUGUUCACUUGGUUGGUUGGAAGAAAAUUGCCUACCCAAAAAAUCUAGGCAGUUUAGGAAUCAGAACAGUUAGGGAAAACCAAUAUUCGUCUCCAAAACUUUGGGUGGAUUUCCUCUAUAAUAGGCAUGUUUUUGGGCAUAAAAUCAUGCAUGCUACCACUCAUCCCCAAGAUUCACCUGCAUGGUCUUCCAUCAUGCAUGCUAAAAAUGCUCUCAAAGACGGUUUCUCUUGGUGUGUGGGAUCAUGUAUUUCUUCAUUUUGGUUUUGUCCUUGGAGCUCCCUUGAUUUCAUAAGGUCCCUUCCUCCUUAAAUAGACAUCCACGACUUGCAUUCGACAGUUAGAGAUGUGAUCUACACCAAUAUUCCUCACACUUAGGUUUUGUACUCUCACCUCCCUCCUUUGGUAGCCGAUUUUAUCAAUAACAUGAACAUUAAGUGUAAUCCCCCUGUAAAAGAUUCUUUCUUUUGGACUCCUAAAAAAAUGGUACCUACACUACUAAGAGUGACUACAUUUGGUUGCUAUCCCACACAAACACGAUAACUCAUUUUAAUUCUAUUUCUUAUAUUGGUCUUGGAUUUGGAAAUUAAAGCUUCUGGAAAAGCACAAGUUUCUUUUUUGGUUGGCCUGCCACAACUGUGACCCUACUCUCCUUUUACUCAACCAUAGAAAUAUUGCACCAUCGGCUAUUUGUUCUCGUUGUGGUCUUGAUGACGAGACUUUCCUACAUUGUGUUUGUGAUUGUAACUUCUCUCGAAUCAUUUGGCACCAUGAUGCGAAUUUCUACUCAAAUAUGGAUGUGAUAAAUUGGUUGAAGGACAGUUUUAUGGGUCUUCAUUCUUUCUUCUUUGUUGCUACUAUUUGGUGGGCUUGGCACCACCAAAAUCUUAUGUGUUUAAGCAAUGAGAAUUGUCUGCUUAGUCGUCUCUCCUAUAACAUCCAUAGUACGGUAGAUUCUCUCAUAUCUUGUUUUGCUCCUAGUUCCAAUGAUGAGAUAGUAUUCAGGAAGUGGAACAAGGAUAAUAACUUUUGCAUCAUCCUUAAUGUAGAUGAUAUUUGUUUGGGCACCCUCGUGAGUAGGGAUGGGAAUAGGCCAAACCAACCUACAGGAGCCUACGACCUAGUCUACGACAGAUCAGACCAGACUUUUUUCUUAAACAGAGAAGGCCUGGGCUUUUUUAGAAGCCUAUUUAGCUUAAAAGGCCAGCCCACGAGCCAUUCAAAAAGCCUUUUAGGUCGGCCUAUUUAAAUAAAUAUGAAUAAUAUUAUUUAUUAUUAUAUUAUAUUUUGUAUUUUUUCAGUAAUUUAAGCUUAGUAGUUUUUUUUUGUAUAUUUAAAUAUAUUAUUAUAAACUAGACUUGAAAUAUGAUACAAUACAUAGUCAAAUUCAUUAAAAACUCAUAUUGAUUAUCAAAAGAGAGUUUGAUCUAAUUGAUAUAUUAGUUCGCUAGUCUAUUUAAACUUAUAUCACUUUGCUUAUAUAAAGAUGUUCAUAUGAAAUAAGCUUUUAAACAGGCUUGCAAGCCAUAUCAGGCUUUCACAAGGUCAGGCUUAGGCCUUCUAAAAAAUUGGCAGGCCAGGGUCAGAUCUUACAAAGCCUAACUCGGCCUAGCCUAUUCUCACCCUACUCGUGAGUGCCGACUUUGGAGGAGUCAUUCAAAAUAAUGUUGCUUUUAUUUAUCAGUUUUUUUUUUUUAAUAUAUUCAUGACUCUACUGACAUCAUGUAUACUAAGUUUUUUGCUAUCUACUAGGGUCUAAUUAUGGCUAAAAGCUUAAAUAUAAUUGAGCUCGUUUGCUACUCCAACUCUUUGCACUGUAUCAACCUUCUUAAAGGUUCAACAACGAAGUUUCAUGUCUAUGUGGUCUUGAUUCAAGACGUGAAGGAUUUAAUUGAGCAGACCAAUGUCAUUGUUUUCCAUACUCUUAGAGAGGAUAAUCGUUACGCGGAUAUAAUGAACAAACUAGGAACUCUGUUGUAUCAUGUGAUUCAUGCCUCUCUCUCCAAGAAGAUCUCUUGUAUUUUCUUAGAAUGGAUACAACUGAAACUUUCUAUAUAAGAGAGUAGUCUCUGUUUUUUUUUUGCUCGCUGUGCGUUUCUUUCCUUUUUGCAUUGUAACAAAAAAAGAUUUAUUAUUAGAAUGAUAUAAAUUUUUUGAAAAAAUUGGAAAAAGAAAAAAAUUAUUAAUUACAAAGAUUUAAACUUUGUAUACGAAGAUUAAAAAGUUAAGCUUGCUACCGAGCUAGCACCUAAGUGUGAAAUGACUACAUGUUCGAUAAACUGAAAUAGUGCUUGUGCGUGUAUGUAUAAUAAUAAGAGAUUAAAAUAAGAAAAGUCAGCUUGUACGAUUAUUUGACAAUUGACAAACAGUGAACAACACGUCAAAAAAUAAUUAUAUAAUGUGAAACUUACCUAAAUAAUCUUCAUACAUACUAUAAUUGUCACAAAAAGCUUCGAAUAUAUGCUAUUAUGUAUCAAAAAAAAUAUUGUGUCUGUGUGCUGGAGAGUAUGAUAUUAUUAUUAUUUUUGACAAAAAAAGUAUUAUAUGAUUUAAUAAAUGAUAAAAUAUAAUAUUUGCCUUUUUAAAAUAUUAUGUGAGAUUCAUACAAUCUAGUGAAACUAUUUAAAUAUUUUUUUCAACAAACUAAAAUGAUAUAUUAUAAACAACGAUGAAUCACCCCGCGCGCAAAAGAUGAUGCAAUCAAAAAUAUUUACAAAGGAAGGUGCCACAACAUCAGAAGCACCAACAAGAAAACUGGAAACUAGUGGACGCCCAUACACAAGAGAGGGUGUUUCCAUCAAUCAUGAUAAGUGGAACUAAAAGCUGUCUGUUUUGAUUUCAACCAAAGGAAAGAAUUUAGCUUAACUUUUUCUAGGAGAGAAGAAGGAUUACAGGCCGCAUUAUUAAAUACAUGGGUUGUUCAUUUCCUUCCACAUCACCCAAACAGAAGCAAACCAUAUUACCUUUAGGUGGAUAUGUGUAGAUCCAGGUAAGCCAGCCAUAUGAAUAAACUGAUUAAGGUGAUGUCGAAGCUCACCAGACAUAACUGCUGAAAUGCCUAACCAAUAUAACGUUGAAAGCCAAAUAGAACUAAGAACAUUACAUUCCAAAAACAGAUGUCUAGCCGUUUCAAAAUUACCGCAAGUUGUCAAACAGGUCGUGUCAGUUGCUGGAAUAACCUGCCGUCUUGCCAAAUUAUCUUUAGCAGGCAAUCUAUCACGAAGAAGACGCCACACGAACAAUGACACCUUUGAUGGAAUGAACUUGUGUCAGACGUUAUCAACCAGGUACCUAUCAACAGGCACCCCUGAAGUAGUAAGAAAGUGAUAUGCUCCACGAGCCGAGUAACCAUGAACAGGAUCAAGUAACCAAAAAAAUAACAUGUUGCUAAUACUGUUCAAAAUUUUGUUUGUGAAAAGAUUAUUCAUCACACACACAUGCAUAUUGUAUUUAAAUUUCUUUUAAUAAAAAUAUAGCAUUUAAAUUUAAAAUUGUUAAUAUUAAUAAUUGAAAAUUAGUUGUUGAUAAAAUCUCAGUUUUUUUUUUUUUUGUAACUAAUUCAUUCUACUCUUCUUUGGACAAAAUUCACUCUACUCCUGACUACCAGUUUACACAAAAUUUAAACUAAAAAAUGUUUUACAAAUUCAUUCUUUUUCCAAGAAGGAGAUGAGAGUAUAUUUUUGAAGGAAAAAAAAUCUAAAAUUGAACGUGUAAAUACAUCACCAUUUUCCUUUCAUACACGUCAUUCAUAUGAUAUUGACUUUGACUUAGUUUGUUUAUUUGAUAUAAAUUGAUAACACACGACCAUGUGAACCGUGUUGAAUCCAUAAAAAGUGGAUCACCAAGUUAGGAUAUAAAAUUAAUAUUAUUUAGUUAACUUAAUUGCAUAUACUUUUGCUUUGCAAGUUAAUUAUUUGAAUUUAAUAAUCUAUAUACCGCCACUAGUGACAGAUAUACAUGCUCUACAUUAUAGUAUAUAUGCAUGGGAUCAUGGUUAAUUCUUCUUCAAGAUCAAGAAGAUUCUUGCAAACUUAAUUAAGCUAAGCUAAUCUAUUUCAUUUGGUGGAGAUUAUGAUGGUAAGUCAAAUUGCUUCAUUGAAUUUCCUUUUCUUUCUUUUUCUAUCAAAAACUCGACUUUCCUAAAGUUCCUGAACUAUAUUUUCUCAUUAAUUAAUUUGAUCAACGUAUUUAUAUACAUUUUUUUUAGGAACGUAUUUAUAUACAUGUAUAUAUGGUUUAUUGCGUAAUGAUGAUGCAUUUUUAAUUUGCUUAUAAAUGGUGCAGCAAACGAUCGUGAUUGAGUUGCCACUCCACUGUGCAAAAUGCAAGAAGAAAAUAUUGGCCAUAUGCACCACUGCUGAUGGUACGUGUUGAUCAUAUAAAAGUGAAAUGUUUUUUAUUGAAAAAAAACAUGCAUUAUUCAAUAUAUAUAUAUAUAUAUAUAUAUAAUCAAUUAUAUUGGUCCAAGUAAAACUGAACUCAAACCGCUUAAAUAAGGUCUCGGGUUCAAACCUUGUGAAUGAUAAAAUGUGGUUAAGAGGGAAGACUCAACUAAAGGUCAGUCGGGUUCUCUGAUGAAGAUUAAUCAUCCUCGAAAAAUCAGAGAUACUCAACAACAAUAAGUCAAUAACAUGAAGACACAAAAGAUGCAAUAAUACAUAUUUCUUUAUUCAAUUAAAAUGUUUCACUAUUAUAUUUUUCACUUCAAUAUUAGGAACUAGUGUAAUAUUGUUACUAAGGUUAAUUAAUUUGUGAAUGAUAUAGGUGUUACAAUGGUUACUUUGGAAAGGGAAGGAAGAGAUAGAGUGGUGAUUAAAGGAGAAGAUGUUGAUGCAGCAAGGGUGACUGAACAUUUGAGGGAGAAAGUGACCAGGCAUGCUAGACUUGUUAGUGUGACCAAUGAUGAAUAAACUAUAUAUAAUGUUGCUUGAAAUAUGUGUUCAAUAUUCAUAUGUCGAAAGGUGAUUGUUUAGUUGUGAAAAUUAUCCUAUUCACAGAAAUGUAGUCAUCAAAUUGUUUGUAUCGUUUUGAUUUGUAGUAAUUUUUUAUGUUAUAUGUCAUAUGUAAGGAAUGUGUUUCUUUUAACUGGUAUAAAAUAGUAUUUGGAUAUUUUAUCUUAUAGAAAUGCAUAAUGAACUUAUUGUCAACUUUACAAUGAACCAUUCCCACUUCAAUCAAAACACCACCUUACUACACAAGUGAAAAUGGAGGGGGGACCAACCACCAUGAAACACUUGACAUUCAAAUGUACAUACGACUACAGUCUACAACAACCAAAUCCUUUUUUACUAUAUAUAUCCCUAUAGUCCCUAAAUAUAAACACUUUUUGCAUUGUUAAGAAAAAUUAAUAGUAGUUUUUUUUUUGACAAAUAACAGUGUAGUUAAUGUAUCCAUAAUAUGUAUGAACCUAAUAUACAAUUUACAUGUGUAUACAUUAGUUUUAACUUUAUAAAAAAUGUUAACUUAAGGAACCAAAUAUAUAGUAAAAAAAAGUAUGUGUCAUCAACCUCUUAAAAGUGUAAAAAAAAUAUUAUUUUCAAUAUAAUAUUUUUUUUGUUAUUUUGUGUCCCGCAAACAUUAGGUAACAUAGCCUAGCUUUUUAUACUCCAAGAUACUUGAUGGUUGUUAAUUAGAUGUUUAUUUGAAGGAAAAAAAAAAAUGUAUCUAGUAAAUUAAAAAAUGGCUUAUAAUUUAGGUUCAUUUGUUUUGUCAAAGGAGUGCAAGUAUUUGACACCAAAAGGAGUAUCUAUCUGUCAGAAGGCACCAUAAAAUCUUAUAGUGCAUUAAAUAAAUAAAUAAUGAAAUAAAAACUAAUAUUUCCCUUCUAGGCCUUUUCUAGCUUUCUUAAUAGUUUCCUCAUCCAAAUGUUCAUGUGUUUUCUUUCUUUUUAUGAUAGAUUAGAUAAUAUAUAGUAAACACUAGACCUUUCACCCGUGUUGACGCACGGGUCAUAUACAUUAUAGAUGCAUUAUAUUGAUAUUAUAGAUGCAAAUAAUAUAUGGAAAGUGAUGCUCCAAAGUGAGUGUGUAGAAUUACAGUACAAUGAAUUUAUUUGACCUGUUCUAAGCUUAAAUCAGCCAAUGCUUAACCAUACGGCAGAAGCUAACAAACUCCCUAUAUUUAUGUUUAACCAUUCAUUAUGACAGACGAACACUAACAUUAACUAUUGAAACUGAUAUCAACAGAAAAGCAAGGAAAUCAUGAAAAACAGUUGGUGUGCACAUAACUAAACAUGAUUGAAAAUACAUGAAAAAGUAUCAUUACUUCACUGCUAAACUAUGCUAAACUAAGUGAAUCUGAAAUGAAAUAGAACAGAUAAAUAAACAGAGUGAAAGGAUUAAUACAAACUGUUUUAGGUGUAAGGAUUGCUCUAUCUUAAAAGAAUUCCUUUUCAUGCAUGUUAUCCAACAAUGGAAAAGUGGCUGAAUUAAUUCUACUCAACUAUCCAAUUAAACAUUGGAAAACAACAAAUGAUAGGUUGGAGAUAUGGUUGCAUGAGUUAAAUGAGAAUGCUUACAUCCAACCAAAAGUAAGAUAUGGCUGCAUACAUUAAACCCUAUGUAGCACAGGCUAUUUAGCAAAGGGGACAAAGUGUGAUUUAUACAGUUAAUGGUGUUCCCCUAUGCCUUGAAAGUGUAAUAUUAACUAAUAUGCUAUAAUCUGUGAAGCCCAGAUACGAGAUACGAUACGGAUACGAUACUGCACUGAUACGCCGAUACGGAAAAAUUUCAAAAAUCAAGAUACGAUACGGCUGGGAUACGUUAAUAAAAAAAAAUUAUAUAAUUAAAUGUACUAUAUAAUUAUAACAAUUUUUUUAAUAUGCAAGUAUAUUAACAAACACAUGAAACCAGGCUCGUAGCACAUUAAUAUAAAUAUAAUAUUGACGAUUAAGAAAAUGAAACCAGGCUCGUAGCACAUUAAUAUAAAUAUAAUACUGACGAUUAAGAAAAAGGGAAAUAUGCAAUUGGUUGUGUGGUGUGGGUCGUACUGGCACCAAAGAAAGAUAAAGGAAAUGUAUAUAUAUUAUAGUAAUAUAAUAUUUUUAUUCUUAUUUUUUACAAAAAAUAAAACAGAAAUCAAAAUAAUAUAAAAAACACAAGUAUCCGUGCGUAUCGGGAUGUAUCGGAAAGUAUCAGAUUAUUAUUUUUUUUUAAAAUAAAAUUUAAUAUUUGGAUACUCCCCGGAUACAUAUCGGGAAGUAUCGGGCAGGUAUCGGUGCAGGAUACGCAGGGGAUACGGUACGUCAUCCAUUUUGAAGUAUCUGGACUUCAUAGGCUAUAAUAUAUGUGCAUGCAGAUAGUAUUUUUGCGCGAAUCAAUUUAUAGUAGGGAAGUGAGACUACUAAUAAUUAAUUGAAGCUAUUCAGCCAACUGUAACUGAACUUAAUCAUCCAAAGCGAGGGGACAAAACGUGAGAAAAACAUUAACAAUGUGUUUGGUUACGAGAAGAAAAUAAGAAGAGAGAAAGAGGUGAGAGAGAGUAAGAGAAGAGAGAAAGAGGUGAGAGAGAGUGCAGAUAAAGAAGAGAGAAAUGUUGACUAUUUUUAAAAGUACAAGAAUGUCCUUGAAAAAAAUCCUCUCAUCAAAUUAUUUUAUUUUUAUUUUAAUUCAAUUAAUUAAUUGAAAUGCCUCAAUUAUUAAACUGAAUUUAUUUUAUUUUUACUUAAUUAUAAUUUAAUCAAUAAAAUAAUUAAUAAUUUAUUAAUAUUAAUAUUAAUUAAAUAAACCCAAGAAAAAAAGAGUCACAUGAUGAUGUAAUAACAACAACAUAGGCGUGUUGCACAUCACAAAUUAAAAGGUAAAAAGGUAAAAAUAUUAAAAUGAGCAACUUCUCUAGACUUUCUCUGCAGUUUUGGAGAGAAGAAAAAACAUGUGGGCCCCAUCGCAGAUUUGUCUCUCCUCUCUUUCAUGUGUGUGCCAAACAAGAGAAAAUGCUAGUUUCUCUCCUAUUUCUCUCUCUUCAGCAUUUCUCUUCUACCAAACAAAAUGUAAAUGCUAUCUUCUACUAUGAUCCAUUAUAUUCAUUGGGAGCAUAUGACAAAAUAUAGUAUUAGGUGUGUAGAUACAUAUGAAAAACUAAAUUGAUUUGCUUUUAAAACCGUAUGAGAAUUGAAGACCCCUCAACCACAUUAUAUUUGAGACCUUUAUAGUUCACCUUAUUGUACAAUUUUCUUUAAAGUUAAUUAAAUAUAAAUACAACUAUAAGUUAGUUUAUAUAUUUUGACGUACCACUUUUGAUAAACAUGACUCACUAAAUAUCAAAGGAUCACAUGAAAGACCAAUAUUAUAUAAAGUUAACCUAAUUUGUAUAAAUUCGCUCACUUAAAUUAUAUAAAAGAUGAGCAUCAAGGUAAAUUUCGUUUUUUUUUUUUUGACUAAGCAUGAUAAUUAGUCAAUCACUAGAUAUUAUAAUUGGCAAAUUGCAAAAUCCUUACAUUCUAAAGUUCACCUAUUGUCUUUCUGAAUACCUCUUUAAAUUGGUUAAGCUUAUUUCAAAGAUGUGUGAUUAUUAAUUCUUGUUAUUUUUUCCCUAAGCAUGACAAUUAGGCAAUCACUAAAUAUUAAUAAUUAUAAAACAGAAAAAUAAAUUGUAGGAGUUAAAUCGGAAUAUCUAUAUAGAAAGAAUAUAUAUAUAUAUAUAUAUAUAUAUAUAUAUAUAUAUAUAUAUAUAUAUAAAGCAAUAGCAGCAAUGAAAGUCCACGGAAAAAACAAUAUGUAUUUUUCUUUUUCUAUUUGUUUAAAAGAUUAAACAAAAGGAUUGGCAAAUAAAAGUGCUAAUGCUACAACCAGUCCAUAAAUAGUUAAAGCUAUUGUUUUUCUCAAUAUUGAUAUAAAUUAGUUAACUUCAUUUUAAAGAUGUGUGAUUAUUAAUUUUUAUCUUUUUUGGACUAAGGAUGACAAUUACGCAAAUGAUAAAUAGCGUAAUCGGCAAAAUAAAAAGCCUUACAUUUUAAAGUUCAUAAAUUGUCUUUCUCAAUACUUUUAUAACAAAAAACUAACUAAUUAAGAUCAUUCAACAUAAAGGUACAAUUUAUUUGGUAGCAAGUACAUUUAAGCAGUUUCAUAAAGGGAGAGACAUCUGCAGAAACACCAAAAUUGCUCUCAACAUACAACGCAAAAUAGUUAGUUUGCAACUGACGGAAACAGAAAUGACUAAAAAACAUAAAACAAUAAAAGUCUCAUAUGGGACAUGAUGCGACCUCCAUAUCAUCAUCUUAAUACAUAACAACACUAAAGAAAAGCUUCUCAUUCCUUCCAACAUAAGGAGCACCCACAAUAAUACGCACACCAUCUUUGAACCUUCUAGCCUUCACCAUGCAAUUCCAACCACCACCAAGCUGAAAGUUUGCAUCACGCCCACGAACGUACUGUAAUGUGCAAUCCCAGAUAUUGCUGCACUCGUCCACCAACUUCAACGAAGUGGACCUUUUGUGCAAAACCAGCUGAGAAAAACCCAUGGGGAAUAACACCUUCAUUUUACAAAGUUCAAACAAUUAGUAUAUGACCAGCUAACAAACAAUUAUCAAACAGAUUUUUUUUAUAAUAUACCAGAAUUCCAGACUCAAUUUCAGCAGAAGUAAGUGUCUUCUCAUAGGUCACUUGAAAGUUAAACUCAUUAUGAGUGAAAGGCCUUGGAGCAAAAGUGGACAGGUUAGAUUUGUCAAUGGAAAACUUCAUAGGAGGACUGAACGUAGGAAUUCUCACUUUGAUGUCAUGCCUGUUCUUGAUACUGAUUUUGAACUUCACUAACCCUACAAAGACCAAUGUUACCCAUGAACCAAGUGGUAAGUUGUAAAAAUCGCGAUGCAUGUGUAUGCGAGGAGAGUAUGAACAUCGUUAUGAGCCAUUUCUUUUCUCACGUUAGGAGUAAUAUGCGGGUGAAAAUGGUUGUUACUGAAGGCUAUUAAAUAGGCAGAGGAUUUGGAAGAAAUGGAUGGUUGCAUGUGUUGGAACUACAAAACACAAUGAAUGUAGUUAGAAGAUGUAAAGGCAUGAACCAUUUUGCUUUAGUGGGAUUGUUUUUGGGGGGAAAAUUUGAAUUCUGAAAAUGAUUACCAAGUAGCAAAGCAUUAAGUGUGGUUAGGUGGGGGCAACAUUUGUUUAGCGCCAAAUCAUAGAGUUUUAGGGUUUUGCAAGAGUUGUUUGCAAAGGCACCUUUGGAUUAGAUAUAAAGAUGACAUCUUUAUUAGGAUUUCUGUUUGCAUAAAACCCUCUAUUUGGAAAGGUUCUGCAUGUUAUAACUCAUUGGUUCUCUCUUCUUUUUGUGGAAGAACAUCGGUUCUCAAUUUGUACACGUAUCUCGAGUUUUCCAACUAAUACAAAAAUGGCACAAAAGCUUGCCAAUUAGAAAGAAAUGAUAAAAAAAAAAAAAAAUUGGGGAAAAUAACUUAAUAAUUACUAUGAGAAUUUUCCUGAUCAACUACAUAUUCAUUAGAAAUGUCUUCAUGUGGUCUCUUUGGAAAUGUAUAUCCAUCAUACUCUGCAUCAUUCUCAGAUUCCUCACCACUGUUCCAUUUUCUUUUCACAAUUUUUGGGAACAUUCGUGUUACUUCUUUCGCUUCCAACAUUUCGUCGCCACUAUGUAGUCUUUCAAACCGAACAGCACUCACCUUUCUCGCAUUCCCUGCUAGUAUCUGCGUCAAAGACAAAGAGAAGCUCUAGAUUCAGUUUUGUUACUUCACACACAGAUUCAGAAAAAGAAGAAGAAAAAAAAAAUCGAAAUCUUAUAAAUAAUAAACUACCAUAAGGGACAAUAUCAUUGAUAGCAACAAAGUGAUUACCUCAAGUUUGAAAAUAUGUUUCUUCUCUUUCGGUUCUUGGUGGUCACCAUUGGUGUCAUCAUCAUCAUCUUCGUCAUCCCUUUCAAGAACUAACUUGAUGCUUUCUCCUGUCCUUGGAAUGUAUCCAAAGGCUUCACAUACAAAGCCUGAUACCGUCUCAUAUUGGUGACCCUGAAAUAAUAAAGUAACCACCGUAUUAAUAGGCCCGCAAAUCUUAAACAUACUUGGUAAUCUUGUCAAAAUAUAGGGUAGGCUGUUUGAGAUGCAAAGAUACUAGGGUAGCAUGAAAUGGUUCCGAGGGCAAAUUCAAAAUCAACUUAAUCAUUGGUUCUACAAAUAACAAUAAAUUGUGAUACUGGCACUUUUUUCCUUUAAAAGGAAAACCUGAUUGGGUGCUGUUAUAAAGAAAAAUCACACUAAUUCAAGGGAACUAACAGAAGAAUGUUAAACAAGAUUUCGAGCACUGAUAUAAGAAGACUAAUAUGUAAAUGCAUGUAUGGAAAAUGAAAUAAAAAAGUGGUGAACCUCUGGCAUCUUAAUGUUCAAGUCUUCUGAGAGUUGAUCAAUGGAUGUGUUAGCAUCCACGUCAAACACACCCUCAGCUCGCAUUACUAUGUAGCCGGUUUUCUUUUGUAUUUCCUCCUGUAAUAGCAACAAAAGAAUGUUCUUUAAUGAAAAUUUGGCACGUAAAAGCAGAAAAUAGUUGUAGUCACCAAAAUUCAGAUGCAUACAUAAAAAAAUAAAUUUCAUUCAAAUUUGCUGAUUUUUUAUCAAUCAAAUGCAAACAUACAGAACUAUUGUUGGGGAGGAAAAGUGACGGUAGUGUAUGUAAAUUUGAAAAGGUAAAGAUUAAGUAGAAGCAUUUAUACUGAGAUUUACCUUUGAGUCAUUUUCAUCAAAUAUUUCACCAACAAUUUCUUCAACGACAUCUUCAAGAGUUACAAGCUGUUAAAUGGAAAAAUACGUAAGACAUCAAGACUCAUUGAUUCAAAAACCAUUAUCUUGUCAAAAUUGUUAGACCUCAUUGUCAGAAGAAGUAAACAUGCCCCAUUUAGCAAUUAAAAAAAUGAUUUACUAAAUGCAACAAGCAUGUGGAAGGAUGCCACAUAAAAUCAUUGGCAAAAUAAAUUCAAUCAUCACAGAUUCAAAAUUUAUUGAAUCCAAAAUCAAGAAAGAUAGGGAAACAGAAACAUGAGAACAGAAGGUAAAUAUCAAAAUUUAGUAAAUCAGAAUUGCCUUGGAAUCAGAAAGUAGAGAAAAAACUAUUUUAACUUAUAUUAUUAAACUAAAGUACGGGGCAAGGAGCAUACUAAUACCUAAACAUGUAUAUACAAUAAUGUAAGCAAAUAUUUGUACAGAAUAAUUUAUGAAUAUUCUUGAAAUUGUUUCUGAUGAGUGGCAUGAUUUCAAUGUUGAUUCUGUUAGCUUUUAUUUAAAAUUAACAUAAAAAACAGGUUGAAAGAAACAUACACCCAUAGUGAUAGAUUGUUCUAAUUGAUAUCUUUAAUAGGCAUCUUUUUUUUUUCUACAGUUAUACUUUGCACAAUUUAUACAUCUUUAGCGAAUCACAAAUUCCAUAUAUUCAUAUUUAUGUCAAACAAACUGAUCUGAGUUUGGUUGAAUUCUAGUAUGGCAAGCACAUACCCCAACAGUUCCACCAUACUCAUUAAGAACGACAGCCAUGUGAACCUUCCUGAUUCGAAAUUCUCUAAGAAGAUUCCAAACAGACAUUGAAUCUGCAAAGGCAAUAAUAAAAAUUUAUUCAUCCAAUAUUAUGCACCAUGUUAAACAGAUAUCGAUGCGCCCAUAGCCCAAACAAUUCAACCAGUUAAACAAUUCAAUUUAGAUGUGUUAAGAUAAAGUCAAGUUACCAGGUACAAAAUAUGCAGGUUUGUGAGCCAAAUCUCCAACUGUGAUGCUUUCUAGAGUUUCUCCCUUCAAAAUUAAACAUAAUAUAAUUCUGCAAACUAUGAGAUUUGAUUAAUAGGCAAAGAACUUAUAACCUGUAACCAAUAAUAGUAGUAAAAUCUCCCAACCUUUUGGACAUAAUCCAGCAGAUCCAUCGCAUAUGCUAUACCCAUUAUAUUAUCAACACGUUGCUCAAAAACAGGAACCCUAGGAAACAUGUCAUGAUACAGUUAGCACACUGGGAAAAAAAUAUCACUGAAUUCAAACUGGGAAACAUUUAAAUACCUUGAGUAUUGAUGUGUAACCCACAAGUGAUGAAAAUCUACAAGGCUUGAACUUGCAUCAAUUGCAACAACAUCAACAAGAGGCGUCAUAACUUCUCUGACAUGUGUGUCUUUUAUCUCCAACACAUUUUCGAUCAUAUCCUAUAAAAUAUAUUCAAGACACUUAUCAGAAAAAGAAAAAAAGAAACAAAUGAAAACAGAUUAAACACUAAAAAAUAAUCAAAGGGCUUUUGUAAGUGGUGUAAAGAAUAACACUGAACAUACGUCAUUACUAAAAACAAAGAGCGCAUUUUCACAUUAAAUUUCAGCUUGCAUUUUUUUAAAAAACAAUAGUGUAGAGACAAUUUUUUACAACGGAACAUAUUUAUAAAAUUUUAUUUUCUCUAGAGGAGAGAAAGGGCUGAACAUUUUGAAAAGAAAUAUAAAGUGAUAUUAUUAGAAUUAAAUCCAAUAUUAAUUACCUGUUCUUCCUCUUCUAUUGCUCCACUUAAUUCUGCACCCCUUAGCAUCAGUUUUAGCUCCUCUUCAGUUACAUAUGGCUCACUAAAAUAAAAUAUAUCCCCUUUAGUGUUGAAUUCAAUAAAAAUAAAUGAACGAGAAUAACCCAAGAUCAUUGCUUCAACAAAUGGAUGCAACAUAUUCAAACAACAACAAAAGCCUUUAUUCACUAGGUGGGGUUGGCAAUAUGGCUCAAAUGAUGCCAUAACAAUAUGUAAUGAAUCAUGUUAAUGAGACGAUUUAAAUCCACAUCUCUAUUAUUUUUCUUUAGUUUAGCUCCACGGCCUAGCAUCAGACUAUCCUACAUCUGGCCUACCCUCUUAAUCGCUGCUUUUAAAAGUCUUCUAUCCAUAUGCUAAACCACCUAAGACAAGAGACUGCAACCUUUUCAACAAAGGAAUUUACCACAAUUUUAUCUAUAAUGAUUUCAUUUUUAAUACUACUGGUCUUUUGAAAUCACUUAUCCAAAGUGUUGUCAAUUGGGGAUCAUGGAAAAUCAUGGUUUGUUAAAAUUCUGCAACACGUCAUAGCUAAAGUGCCGCUAUUUGACAACAUUUUGUACUAAAUAGUGUAUCACGGCACAAUAUUGAUUUAUUCAAAUUUUGCUGAGCUACAGCGCCACUAAUCUAUAGCCGCUAGUUGACCAAACUGCUUAUCCAUUGCAAUAUUCUCAUCUCUGUACUGAACUUACUCUUUCUAUAGGGAACCUAUUACUCAAGUUUCAGUCCCAUACAAUAUUGUAGGUCUUAUAGAUGGCACAGUAAAGCUUCCAGUUUAGCUUGAGUGGCCUUUUUACUAUCACAGAUUCAACCUGAGGUCUUUCUCCAAUUUUCACCUCUAGUUGUGUGCAUCCUGAAGAGCUUGCAUUCCAAAUACCUUAUUUUGCUUUUGUUUAAGCAAAGUCAUGUGCUUCCAAUGUUUUCUCCGUAUCAACAUAGAGUAAACAUCUUAAAAAUGUCAGACCAUCUAUAAUAGUAAAAGGUUGUGUAUCCACUCUUUAUGCUAUGAGCUUAACACAAGAAGGUGGCCAUGUUUACUUUUUAUAACCAAGGAUAAAAAAUACAUAAAGAAACAAAGUUCGCUCCUUGUGCCUUAUGAUUUGACCAAAUUACAAACCCAAAAACUGUUACCAACCAUCUAACAGCUACCACAUAUAAAACCCUCACGAUCAAUAAAGUAACUUCAUUUCCCCAUUUAAUCUCUCAUACAUUUAAACAAAAACAAACUUAGAAAAUGCAGAGUUAUCAUGGUGCAUGGGUGAAAAAAAAAUGAAUCCCUCUAAUGAAGGGGAUAAGAUUUACAUCACAAAUAAGAAUCAGAUUUCACGAUAGACAUGUUAAUAAAUAAAAACAAAAAACAAAUGUACAAGAGAAUAUUAAUGGCUGGCUAUUUUUUCAGCAUACCUACUUCCUUUUAAGCCAAGCAAUUUAAGCAUCCCCAUUGAAAGAAAGGUAACAAUUCUUCCUGCAGGAUACAGUACCAGAGAAAGCCAUGCCACUGGCCUGACCUAGAGGCAUUAAAAUUAAUAUUUGUCACUAAACAAAGUUGAAGAAGAAAUGCCAUGGUGUGCAAAACAAACAAAAAUGCUUAAUCAGCACAUUUAUGUUUCCAAAUAUCAAAAAGUAGAAGGCAAUAAGUUUACAACUUACCACAAACCGAGCCACCUCUGUAGCAUUAUGAACCGCGAUGCUUUUUGGAGUGAUUUCAGUGAGAAGCAAAAUGGCAACCUUGUAUGAUUACAGAGAGAAGAGAAAUCAGUUAUUAUGAGAAAAAAUUCUAUGAAAUACGUAUCAGCAUGCACACGUAUAUUAUACUUACAAGAGGUGAGAAGAAACACAAAGUUAUGAAAUUAAAAUACAUGUAGUUCAUUAUCGGAAACAACAACUAAACAGAUGCUGAAGCAUCCAUGACAAUUAAGAAGAUAAACAGACUCAGUUUAUAGCCAACGAAUUUGUUGCUUCAAUCAAUCAAACCAAGCUUCAGAAGAGUGGUAUGAGCAAUGAUAAUUUUGGACAAAAAUAAAGAUAUUAUAAGAGGUUUCGGACAAAAAGUCUAUGGGUCGAAAAGAAACCGUCGGGGUAAGGUUUUGCGAUCAAUCUGAUACAACCAUUCUGUUUGAAAAGAUAAUUUAUACUAAGUACAAGUACUACAAAAAAAGACUAAAUAAAAUUUAAAAUAGGAUACUUAACUUUAUGAAAAUCCUACAUCCUAAAAUGGUGCCUAAAUUGCUGACAUGUGGAUAGCUUUUAAAUGUAUAAAUUCAAAUAACAUAUCAUAUCACCGCCCCUUUGUCUAUUCACUAAAAGAUUAGCCCGGGCACCUUUUUUCACAAAUUGGUGAUAAAGCUAGCAAGCUUUAUAUGUCAAAUUCUUGUUGCCAUCACAUCAGGAGUUUGCAAGUUUAAUUGGCAGCAUGUUGAUAUACUGAAAUAUUCAAGGUUUGAAAUGAAUAACAAUCAAGUAGCCUAGUGAAUCUGAGUUUAUGUUUUGAUGACCUGUUAUUAAUAUCCAAGCAAGAACAAGAAAAUAUACCGUCAUCACUCCUGUUGCUGCGCUGACACCAGCUUCGCCGAAUGCUGCAGUUGCAGCUUCUGUGACCAGAGCAGUUGCUGCAAUAUUUACCACACUGCAUACAACUUAUCGACAUGAGAAACUACUAUAAUCAAGUUGACAAAAUGAUAUUCUUCAAUUAAAAGACAAAUAAAAAGAAGAAUACGUUGUGCCAAUAAGUAUGGUUGUGAGGAAUCGAGUAACAUCACUUCGGAGUAGUCUGAAGACGCCAUUUUCAGACUCCUUUUCAGCCAACUCACGAACCUAAAACAUUGUCAUCAACAGUAAUCAGACAUCAAAGUUUUAAAAUUAUAGUCAACCAUAUUAAUCAUAGGAAGUUACAUAUCUAAUGUACGGAAAUGCAUGCAUAUCAAAGGAAACAAACAAAAUUUUCAGAGGAAAAUGAACUAUAGUAUAGCAACUGAUGCUUCAAUCAGUUGCAUUUAAUAUCCUUGCCAACAAAUAGGUGAGUCGCUAGAAGCUUAACUGUUAGAAGCACUAUUUUAGCAGUUUGUGACUCUACAGUCACACCAAUAUUACAAUCAAAUCAUGCUGUAUUGUUAGAUUUUAAGUUUCACUAUUCUUCACCUUCAGUGGCGACAUGAUCAGUUACUAAAGCAAGACAAUGGCACAAACAUAUGUAUAUAACGCAAAAUAUGUCAGAUAUUGUUCUGUUAAAAAUAUUGCUAAACUUAAUAUCUCAAUAACAUUCAAUUUCUAAUCUUAGAUUAUCUCUUUAAUCUAAUUUACGUAUUAGUUAGUCAUUAUCAUAAUUUUUCCCUGAUUUACCCAUUUGUUUAGGAUUAUUAGUCUUACAUCCCUAUAUAUAGGAAUUGAUUUUUAAUCUAUUGUAUCAAAUCAGUACCAGGUUAAUUAUCAACUUAGUAUCCAGUUAUUAUUAUUAUCUACAAUAUUCAAAAUUCUUAUUAUUUCUCUUCUCUUUUAAUUAAAACCCAUCACUUCAACAAAACCAAAAAAAAAUUGGUGUGUCAAACAGUUAAAUAGCAGAUGAGUUUCUGGUCACUAUAUCUCAUCUAAAAUACAAACUUCAUUACUUCAACAAUGAGAAACUUUCAACAGUCAGCAAUAAAAUAAAUUUCAUUGUCAAAAACUUUACCAUAUCAUCAUGAAUAAUGAUCCUAUCCUAUUUCCACAAAACUCGCCUCCAAAACUCAACCCAGCCCCGGCAACAAUCCUUUUACCAACUACACUAUAUUCAGUAGACCUAUAUUGAACAAUGCCAUACAUAUAAAAAAUAGUCACUCACUCAAAAAGAAACAAUAAGCACGAUACCUUCCAAGGCCAAAGUGUAGUAAUCGAUGUCUCUGCCAGAGAGAAAAAAGCCGAAAGACCCAAAAGCAAAGCCAAUAACAGCCCUUGUUCCUUAAACAAACGAAGAAUUUGCAACACUGUCGGCCAAGUACUCUUAAGCAAAAGUAUACACUUUCCAAUAACACCAUAUCCAGCAUUCACCACACCUUCGGUAGCCAAAACUUUAGGGCAUCCAAACACCAACACCCCACAAACAGCAGCAGCCAAAAUAAUUCCUCUCUUCACUAAAACUUCAUUUAUAAACUUCAAAUUAGCAUCGGAAACAUCGGUUUUCGCUCGUAAACAAUCACUAUCACUACCACUACCAAUACACUUCACUUUCAAGCUAGCUCCACCAACUAACUUCAAAUUUUUUCCAUAACUUGAAAGAUGAAAGCUUUUACAAGUGAAAGGACCAACACAAUUUGACACAAUAGGAAAAGGGUAUCUACCAUUUGUACCCAAAACCUUCAUUGGCAUUCUCUUUGUACGAUUCUCAUGCACAGGGUAAAACAAUUUCGAACCCGAAUUGAAAACUCGAUGACCCAGAGCCCAUGAUUCGAGUGUCAUUGCUAAAACACUAAAAUCAUAACACCCCACAAGCUAAAAAUCGAAAUUUUAUGCAAAAAGAAGAAGCUUUGGAAAAACCGAACUUGGAAUAUUUUGCUGAAUUGUGAUGAAAGUGGUUAUGCGAUGCAACCGAGGAAGGUGAAAAACAAUGAAGAAAGUGUAUAUACACGAAAAAAAUAGUGAAAUUUUUGGUUAAUUGGAAGGGAAAAUUGAAAUUGGGAAAUUAGGGUUUGAGAAUGAAGAGAAUGGGGGGAAUUGAGCGUGUGAAGGCGUGGAGGAGAGUUGGUGGACUUGGACUGACCACCCCACUUGCUUUGGUUGUCAGAUGCUCUUUGAGGCAAACACAGCAUACCCUCACUUCUACUAAUCUUAACUAUACGAAUAAGAAUAAAAGGUACAAUAAAAAACCAUAAAUGUCCCAACAUGUUUCGUUUUGUAAAAAUAAUUAUGAUUAAAUAUGUUUUUGAUCCGAUAAAUAUAUCAAUUUUUUAUUUUAAUUCUUUAAAAUUUUCCUUCAACUUUUAGUUUUAUACAUUUUUCAAUCACUUUUGGUCUCUAUUUUUAACUUAAUUUUUGUAUUUUUUAAUAAAAUUGUGCAUAAAUGUGUAGUAUAUUGUAAAAAAAAAUUCAUAUUAAAUUCAUGUUUUGUUAAAAAAUUUUAAAUUUUUUUUGGAGAGAUUCUUAUAAUAUUAUGAAUUGUUUCUGCAAAAUUUUAUUCAAAACUAUGAAUUCUACAUAUGAGUUUACUUUAAAGGAGAGAUCAAAAGUGAAGAUGAAACUUUUUUUAAGGACUAAAAAUUGAAGAAAUUUUUUAGAGGAAUUAAAAUGAAAAGUUGACAUAUUUAUCGAAACAAAAACAAAUAGUUGAGUGAAUAAACUAAUUUAUAGUGGAUUAAAUGAGUGAUUAAAUUUGUUUUAUUUGGUAAAACUAACAAUUGAACUAGUUUUAUAAAGUUAUACUGAUAUUUACUACUAAUCUACUGUUAAAAUAUAAAAUUAAUGAUCACCAAAAUUCUUUUAUUAAUAUCGAUUAAACUCAUAAUUUUCUUAAUUUUGUAGGUUUAAUCGUCAAUUAAAACUAAAUUAUUAUUGAUUAUAAUGACUAAAUGAAUUUAUGCAUUAAACAUUUUUUUUAGCAAUUAUGCAUUAAACAUUGAUAACAAUUUUUUUAAAAAUAAUUUAAAUUUGUUUUAUAUAAAACUAAUUUUGGAUUCCUUAACUUGUGCCCUUAGGGAACAAGAUAACAAGACCUAAAAAAAACUACAAUGAGAAUCUAAGCCAAAAAAUCGAUAUUUUUUUUUUUUGAAAGAAAGUCGUAUUCUUUAUGGUGGCUUCAAGCUAAGAAAGUCCAUUUUGUUUUUAGGAAUCAUAUGUGGUGGUCGAGUCCGCUUGUUUGUUUGGGCAUCAGCAUAUAUGUAUUCAGGUGUUGACUUUGUAAAUUCUUCGUAGUCUCGUACACAUUGUGCUGAAGAGAUUGUUUGUCAGUGUUAAUAUAUAUCAUUUUUGCUUGUUAAAAAAAAAUCCACCAUGAAAAAAAAAAAUCUGUCAGAGAAUCUAAUUUGUGUUAAAAUUAAAAAAGAUGACAAUUUUUGUAUUAUUUUUUUAUUAAGCAGCCUAUUGGCUAAAAUUCACCUUUUUCAAAGUGAAUAAUUGGAGUGUCUGCGGUUCCAACCCCGACCCUUGCAUAUAACAAUGCAUGUCCCUGUCAACUGAACUAUGCUCACAUGAAUAAUUUUUGUAUUUUUAAAACAUAUAUAUAAAACCCCAAAUCUACUACUAAUAUAAUAAACCUAAUAUCCACCAUUUUUUUCUAUUAUGUCUUGGAUUAAUAUUUUAAUCUCACUAAUUUGGAGGAAUUAAUCUCAUCAUAAUUUUCUAAUAUGUCCUUGAUUAAUCUCACUAAUGUUUUUAGGUUAAAAAUACCACAAAUUAAUAAAAAAUAUUACACUAAUGUAGAUAUUUAAAAAUAGUCACAAGUUUUCAAAAUUUUAUCAUAUCGACCUUUUUAUAUUGGUACAUAAAAACUUUCUUCCACAGAUAUAAGCCCAUAAAAUCUGUAACGGACAUGGUACAAAUAUUUAACUGUGUUGUGCAUAUAAAUUAAAAAAUAUUAAUAGAAAAACUACAUUAUUGUUGAUAUAAAAAAAUGUGAUAUCUUGAAAAUAGUUGCGAGUUUUCAAAAUUUCAAUCAUAUUUAUUUUGUUGACAGAAGUUAUUGUUUCACAAAUGUACUCUUUAGAAAAUAGAAUUUGUUAAUGUUUACAUGGAAUAUUUACUACAUAUUGUAGAAAAAAAAUAUGUAACAUAAAUAGGAGUAUAUUCAUAAAAAAAUAAUUAAUGUACUUUGCAAUUUGAAAAGAAACUUCAAAACAGUCAUAUAUUUAAGGACGAAGGUAGUACUCCUUUGAUCAUAAUUACAAGAGAACUUUUGGACUUUUUUUUUAUCUCCUUACAAAAAAAAAUGUUACCAAUUUAAUGUAUGUUUAGUGGGUUUGUCAUUUUGUUUCUUCUGCAAAAUAAGAUUAAAACAUAGGGAAAUUCUAUGGUGAAGUUGUUCAAUUGACUUUUUCGAUGAAGUUAUCCUACAUCCAAUAAUAAUGCGCCACAUGUCAUGUGUGCAAAUUGUGGAAUGGUAUGUACCGUGUACCUGCUCAAUAUGUUCCACCGUAGACUAACUUUUUUGAACCAUCAGAUUAAGCACAUCACUAAUGUUAUCGUGUUGCCUUUCACACUAUAUUUAUUCCCUUUCUCUUGUUUGACUUUUUCUUACUUCUAUUUCAACAACAUAUUUAUUCCAAUUUAUUUAUUUAUUUAUGGCAAAAUUACACUAUAAAUUCUGUCAUAAAUCCUUUGUAUUAAAAUUUUGUUUAAAUUGAAAAUUCAUUAUUUUAAUAAAGUUUAAAUUCAUUACUAUUAUUUAAUAACGUUUAAAUUUGUUUUUGGUCAUUGCAUAUUUUUUUCAUAGCAAUUUUGAUAUAUAUCUUAAAUCAUUAGUUUCAACCAUCAAAACAAUCUUGUUAUAUAUCUCAAAUUAUGAUUAGUUUGUGUCAAAUUAUAAAUUUUCAUAUUUGAUUAUCAAAACUAUAAUGAAUUAUUUUUCCUAUUAUCUCUUGAUAUAGACUAUGUUUUUGUAACACAUUAGUCCUUUUUUCAUUUUUUUUAUUAUAAAAAUGCUGAAAUAAUAGUUUUUUUUUUUGUUGAAAGGAUGCUGAAAUAAUAGUUUUAUUAAUAACCUUAUUUGUUAAAAUAUUUUUAAUUAAAAAGAUAAAGAAAUUCAUAAGUCAUAUGAAUAUCUUCAUCAUCUUCCUCCUUGAUUAAAAAAAAGUACACUUAAAUACACAUCUAAAUUAAACAUCUCUACUUUGAUCUUCUUAUAAUCUCAAAAUCCCUAAAACUCAAUUUACCACAAAUAGUUCAAGUAAUUUAGAUGCUAACAAUGGUUUGAAGAGAAACCCAUAAUUUUCAAUUAUCAUAACAGAAUCUUCAGAUAAACUCAAUUAUAAAACUAGAUACAGUUAGAUUAAAUGACCAAUCAUCAUAAUUAGGGUUUCGGAACAAGAACGAUUGAAAUUAGAUAAUAUAGAAUCUAUGUAGUGAACGAAGGUGGGUAGAGUUGUCUCGGUUCGUUGGAGAAAUGUUGAGUAACUUUGUGAUAUUCCAUGUUUUGGAGAUGGCGGUGAUAACUGUGGCUGAAAGGACCAAUGGGGUGUAUGGGUGUUGUUUGAGUGUGUGAAUAGCAAAGGGUAUUUUGUAGAUGCAACAGUCACUGAUUGUUGUCGGUGAUUCUACUUUUUUGGAGCAUCAAAUUCAUUAAAUUGCUUCUCAAUUAACCUUGGUUAACUUCUAGUUCAUGGUUUCAUGUUUUGGGUUAUGUGGGUCUUCAACCGGGUCGAACUGACCCAUAUAAAGGUUGAAGAUGAAGUUAAAAAAAAAAAAAAAAAGGAAUAAAAAGUGUGAAAAAAUUAAUUUUGGUAAUUGCUCAAGCUUUGACUUUAAGAUCUUCGUAGAGAAAUUUCAAAUUUGAAAAAACUAAAGACAACAUGAAUCGAACCAUGUACAACGUUGCGCAACAUUGAAAUUGUAACUAUUGUGUUAUCUAUCUUUUUAUGUUUAGAAUCGAAAUAUAUUAUAUAUGUAAGUAUGUUAUAUCUACAUUUUUUUUUUCCUUCAAAACAUCAUUAUUAAAUAUAAUAUUAACAUAAUAUGCAAGUAUUCAAAAAAAUAUUUUUUUGUUGAAUUAUAUAUAUUUUUUAUUUGUAUGCAAAACACCGUUAAAUAUUUACACUACAUAUUGCAGAAUUUAUAUGUUUAUAUGCACGUAGUCAAAAAAAACUUUACUACAACUGUUUAUAUGUUGACUAACUAGGUUUCUAAUGUGAUAGUUCAUCAGAUUGACUUACAUCGAAGAUUCUGAUUUUUGAAAAUUCAGUUCAUGAUUCGUUCUUAUUCCAUUAAGGACAUAUUCAAUGGUCCGAUUUAUUAUAUUUGAUAGAGUUGGUCGAUUGUGUCCGUUUUGAUUGUCAGAACAAUGUCGUCCUUCCAAUGUGACUAUGUUUAUAAUGGAAUAGUUCGUCAGAUCAACUUACAUUGAAGAUUCUGAUUUCAAAAAUUUCAGUUCCUACCUUGUUCUUAUUCCAAUAAGGUCAUAUUCAAUGGUCCGAUUGAUUAUAUUUGAUAGCGUUCUUAUUCCAAUAAGUCGAUAUGUUUUUUUUAGACAAUAGUUGAUAUGAUAAAAUUUUGAAAAUUAAUUUACACAACACCCAUUGUAAAUAUUAUUAUUUUAUAUGCAAAACAUAGUUAAUUAUUUGCAUCGUGUCCAUUUUGAUUUUAAGUGUUAUUAUGAUCGGAGUCAAGAAAAAAGCACAUACUUCUUUUGCUAAGUCCUUUUUCUCAUUUGUUUUUAAAAAAAAUACAUAAUUUUAUUUUUUAAAGUAUAUUUUUAUUAAAAAUAAAAAAAACAUCCAGAAAUAAGAUGAACAUGUACAUCAUCUUUAUCUUCUUCCUUUCAAUCUUCAUAUUCUUCUUUCGGAUCUUCAUCAUUUCCUUGAAUCAAAAAAAUUUCUACACAAAUAUAUGUCCAAAUAUCAUGAUUUUUUGUUAUGUUCACCACAAAUCUUCUUCUAAACACAAAAGUCAAAACUCAACUUCUAAAUAAUUAAAUUAGGAUCCAGAAGUCAUAGCUCAACUGGCAAAAAUGCCGAAAUUGUUAGGCCGGAUACCAUAACCGGGGUUCGAACCCCGAUACCUCCACUUGUGUGUGUGAGUUUAUAACGGCUUUACCAUUUCGUCUAUCUACUAAAAAAAAAAUUAAAUUAGGAACAACUUCCUUUCAAAAAAAAAAUAGGAACAACAACUUCAAUAAAUUGAUAGUUGAGGUUCUGCAAACUACUUUUAGUUUAAUUCAAAGUUUCAAUUGUCUCUUUAUUCUUUGCAUUUGCGCCGCCAUUGAUAUUACUCACUCACGUUUCUAAUUUCAAUUAUUGUUUCUAUUUCAUUCACGCUAGCUAUUGCAUCGUUUAUAAAACUUUAAUAGUUUGAUCACUAUUUUAAAAAUAUCUGCAGAAGAAAUAUAUUUAUUUUUUGAAAGAACAAAAUUUUUAUGUACCGAUAUUAGAAAGUCGAUAUGAUAGAAUUUUGAAAACUCAUAACUAUUUUAAAAUAUCAACACUAAUAAGUGUUCUUAUUAAAUAUUUUUUAUUUUAUAUGGAAAACAUUUGCACCGCACCCGUUGCAGAUUUCAAAUAUCGAUAUGAUAAAAUUUUAAAAACUCAUAAUUACUUUUUAAAAUGUGAUCAUUAGUAAUUUGUUUUGUCAAAUAGCCACUCACUUUUUAAAAAUAUCAACAUUAAUACAAUGCUUCUAUUCAAUAUUUUUAAAUUUUAUACGUAAAACACCGUUUAAUAUUUGCAUUGCACUUGUUGCAAAUUUAAUGUGCUUAUAUUUGCAUAAGAAAUUAUUUUAUUUUUUUAAGAAGAAAUAUUUUUCCAUUAAAAAGGAAAUAAUCACAACAAUAUGAGAAACAAUUCAUAACGAUAAAAUAUUAAGUUCUCUAAAAAAACCUUAUUUUGCCUUUAUAUAAAAAAUAAUUAUGUUUCGGUUUAACAUUUUUUCAUUCAAUUUUACCUUUCACCGCAUUAUUAUUUUACCAAUUUAUCAUUCUUUGUUUCUUUAAAAAUCAUUCUUUAUUAACAAAAGCGACUGACGCUUAGUUAAAAUUAAGAUUAUAUGCAUGUGUAUAUGACAAUGGAUUUGUCGGCUAUUAUAAAAAAUUUACCACGUGAACCAUUGAAAUUAUGGAGCCAUUUGUAAAACUUCUUUUAAUAAUCUCAAAUGAAUUUAGUUAUGAAAAUGGCGUCACAUAUAGUAGCUGCCUUGGAAAACAAAAUGUUUCGUGGGAAAAAGAAAAUAUACAUUGGCAUAUGCGAUACGGUAUUGAGAAACGAAAAUAAUAAGUGAUGAUCAUGAAUUAUUAUUUUUUUACAAAGUGUUGAUAAUUAACGUUAAGGCGGUCAUUUGUGUAACAUGAUGGUUUAGUCCAUCAAAUUUGUGAUUUAGUGGGAAUUAAGAAGGACAGUUAGGGGAAAAUGAUACUCCAUUCAUCUCACAAUAAUUGUCACUUUAAAUAUCAAUGAAGUAUUUAAUUAUUUUUUCCAUUAUUAUUUAUUUAUUGAAUUUCAUCCAAGUUAACUAUUCUAUUAGGCAACAAUAAAGCAUCAAGGUCUAUUUUAAAAAUAAAUAAAUAACAAAAACGAAAAAGGAAGCUUAUGCAAAGAUAUUUUGGUUUUUUUUUACUAAAAACAAAUUUUGAAACGAAUUAAAGAGCACUUAUGACUUAAUAUCUAGAUGAAAAAGAAGACUUUGAUUUACCAAGAAAGGAAUUUAAAGAGCACUUAUGACUUAAUUGAAUUGAUAAGAAAGAGCACUAAUGACUAGAUGAAAAAGAAGACUUUGCGUUACCAAGAAAGGAAUUUGAAAGGGAUUGAGCUAACUGCAUAAGUAAUACUACUCCCUCCUUCCUUUAAUAAGUGACACAGUUGACCCAAUUACGUAUACCAAUGCGUAAUUUUGAGUUUAAAUAUCUUGAAUAAUAUAUUAAAAAAAUUAUAAAAAUUUGAUAUUUUGAAAAUAUUCAUCGAGACGAAUCUAACGACAUCUUAUAUGAUAUUAUUUAUCUUUGUAUAUUAGUAGAAAAAUAUGGUCGAAGUAAAUUAGGUCAAAAUUGCACAUUUUCAAACAGGUCAUUUAUUGCGGGACGGAGGGAGUAUUAUGGUGGAAUAUUCUUUAGUUACUACUCCCUCCGUCCCUUAAUACUUGACCCAGUUGACUUUAUUACGCAUGUCAAUGCAUAACUUUGAGCUUAAAUAUCUUGAAUAAUAUAUUAGGAAAAAUUAUGAAAAUUUGAUAUUUUAAAAAUACUCAUCGAGACGAAUCUAACGACAUCUUAUAUGAUGCUAUUUAUCUUUGUAUAUUAGUUGAAAAAUACGGUCAAAGUCAGUUAGGUCAAAAUUAAAAAAUUCCAAAUGGAUCAAGUAUUAAGGGACGGAGGGAGUAGUAUUAAUUUACCUGCAAUUUUUGUUGUUGAUUUUUUUUGGCUAUAUGAUUUCUAGCUCUAAUUAAAAAUUAUAAUAUAAAAUUAAUAUACCUGCAACAGAUGAUCAGCGGCAGCAUAAAUGGAUGGUGAGUAGAGAGUAAUUAUAUACUCCAUCCGUCCCUAAAUAAAUGACGUAUUUGACAAUAUAUAUUAUUGACUUAACGUACUUUGACCAUAUUUUUCUACUAAUUCACAAAGAUAAAUAAUAUCAUGUAAGAUGUUGUUGGAUUCGUCUCGAUGAAUAUUUUUAAAAUAUUAAAUUUUCAUAAUUUUUUUUUUGUAGAGAAUUGAAGAUAUCAAAGAUAAAACAUAUGCAUUGGUACGUGUGUCGAAGUCAACUAAGUCAUCUAUUGAGGGACGGAGGGAGUAGAUUAUAGUAGUAUAUACAUAGCUUUGACAGAAAAAAGAAAAUAAUAAAAAAAGAAAAUGACUAUAGUGUUCUAAGGGAAAAAAUAAAAUGAUUGGCGGAAAUAAUAGACAAGAAAUAAUAAAAAAAACCAAAAAAAAACUUAAACCCACGAUUAAAUAUUAAUUUCAAAAUCAAGAUCUUCAGCAUCCUUUUUUUUUAAUUAACGUGAUCGAUCUGGACUCAUGUUAAACUCAUCAUCUUCAUGAUCUUUCAAUUUAGAAAAACAAUAUCUCAGUUUCACAUUCAAAAACAUCACUUACAUCUAGAAUCGUCCAUCAUAAUUAGCUUUCUUUCUUUUGUUCGCUUCAGCAAAAAUUAUAGGAUAUUUUGAAGAAUGAGUAAAUAGUCAAUUUUUUUUCCUGAAAUUGUAAGUUUCAUCAAUUACCUCUCUGAAAUUAACAAAAUUUCAAUUACCCCAUGAAAUUUCACAACGUUAGUCAAUUUGCCCCUCCGUCAAAUUUUUCUGUUAGCGAACAUGACAUUUUGCAAAUACCCCCUGAAGUUUUGCACUUAUGUGCAAAAUGCCCCCCAAACUUAAAAAUUUAUAUUAUUUAUUUCUUAAAAACAAACAAUUAAUAAUUAAAUAUUAAAACUAACUAUUAAUUUUGGAGUUUGGAAAAACUACAUACAUAUAUACAUCAAAAUAGAGAAAAAUGUGUAUUUUUAAAGUGACAAUAAUGGUUAUUUCUAAUAGACAAAUUAUUAUUUUUAGAGGUUUAUAAACAAAUUAAUAAUCAGAUUUAAAUUUAUAUUUUCUCCUUCACCAUCUUAGUCUUUCAACUCCUCCAACUCUUUCAACAAUUUGCUCAAACCAUUUAAACUACACAACCUCCAAUAUUAAUCCACAAAUCAUCCCAUUAUUGUCACUUUAAAAAAUACAUAUUUUUCCCCAUUUUGGAGCCUAUUUUGAUGUAUAUAUGCAUGUAGUUUUUCCAAAUUCCAAAAUUAAUAGUUAGUUUUAAUAUUUAACUAUUAAUUGUUUGUUUUGAAGAAAAAAAUAAUAUAAUUUUUUAAGUUUAGGGGGCAUUUUGCACAUAAGUGCAAAACUUCAGGGGGUAUUUGCAAAACGUCAUGUUCACUAACAGAAAAAUUUGACGGAUGGGGUAAAUUGACCAACGUUGUGAAAUUUCAGGGGGUAAUUGAAGUUUUGUUAAUUUCAGGGAGAUAAUUGAUGAAAUUUACACUUUCAGGUGAGAAAUUGAUUAUUUAAUCAUUGAGAAUAUAUUCCUCAAGCUUCGACGGUAUACAAAUUACAAUUGGUCACCAAUUAAAAUCGAGAUCUAGGUUAUUUAUUGAAAUAAUGUACUAUGAAAAUGAAGUUAUAUGCAGGCUGCCGUUUUUUUAGAAAUUUGUGAAUUGGGAUUUUAAUCCCGUAGAAUAGAAAGAUGGAAAACGUAUCAAAAGGGCGUUAAAUUUUUUUUGGGAUUUUAAUUUUAGAGUUUAGAAGAAGAUGUAAAUAAACAAUACACAUAAAUUCAUGUAAUUUUGAGGUGGAUUUUGGUGAAUUUAUUUUUUUGUUUAAAAAAGGAGAUCAUGAAGAUCAGACGAAGAAGAUGAAUAAUCAUGUGAUUUUAGAGUUUUAUGAUUUUCAAUAUAAAAAAAUAGCAAAAUUAUACUAUGUGGUUUGCCACAUUAUCAGAUUUUAAUAGAAAAUGAAAAAAAGGACCAACUUGUGCAAGAUUAUAAAGAUAAAGGACCAAUAUGAGAACAAAAAUAAAGAUAAAAGAUCAAUCUAUUACAAUUAAAUAAGAUAAAUAACCAUUGAAGUAAUUUUGUUUUUUUUUUUAAUUAUGUAAUUUCUUUCUUUUUGGAUUUUUUUUUCAUACGAAGAAGAUGAAGAUGAUGAAUGUAUGAUGAAGAUGUUGAAGAGUGACAUGGUGAUUUGAUAAAAAUAUGGAAGGGAGAUAAUAUGUAUAAAUAAAGAAAGAUAAAGAAAUAUGAGAGAUGCAUGAGUGAUAAAGAGGAAAGAGAUUUGGAAUUAUAAGAAAAAUCAUGUGUAAAGGGUGUACCACAAUAACAUAGACACCAAGUAAACCUAACCGUUAAGAUCUUGAAAUAAACUUGUCCACGGUGGAACAUAUGAAGCAAGUGAUCCAUAUUAUAAUUUGUCCUAACAUCUGACGUGUCAUGGCUUGAAAUCUGAUUGGUCCAUUCAAACGACUUCACCGAAGAAGUCAUUUACCCGACUUCAUCAUAGAAGCUCCCACAUAUAUUCUAAAGAAAAAUGGUAUAUUCUUUAACUAUAACAAUUACAAUUUAUCUCACUCAAUAUUCUCAUUUUUAACACAUACAAACACACAUACAUACAUGUUAAUUUCUUUGCAUUAUUGUGAUGUGUUUUCAGGCAAUAUCAAUUUCCAGAACCAAUGCUUCCUCCACAUAAAUGUCAUCUCUUCAAUGGGAAUACCUUUGGUUUCAGGCAAGAACAGAAUAACAAAUAUGGUCAUUAGGGUAAUCCAGCCAGCAAAAAAGAGAAAGAUCCCAAACUUGAAUGAGCAGAGAAGAGCAAGAAAUACUUGAGCAAUUAUGAAAGUGAAAAAAAGGUUUACAAAUACUGUGAUACUUUGCCCUGCUGAACGGAUUUCUAAUGGAAAUAUCUCACUUGGAAUUGUCCAACCAAGAGGACCCCAUGACCAUCCGAACGCUACAACAAAUAGGCAAACCACAACUACAACCAAUAUUGAAUAGCCUUUGGAUAGUUCCUGGUUAUCCCCAAACUUGACUCCAAGAAUUAUUGCAACUAUAACCUGCUCAUGCAAAAAUGAAACAAAAUAAGUUGCCCUAAAUUUUUGUUCAGUUUCAAGCAUUACUGCAUUAGACUACUUCAUGUAUGAACAUAAUUUUUUGUUACAACUAAAUAACGGCGUGGAUCUUUAAAACAUGAUUAUAAUUUGUUUGAGGCGGACUUUUUCAUACCUGACAUAUGAUCAUUUGUAUUCCCCCACUGAUAAGAAGAAUUCUCCUUCCUAGCUUAUCAACUGUUGCAAUGGAAAUAAAUGUUGAGCAAGCAAGAACGCCACCCGUCAAAGCCGAGGAGUAGAGUGAAGCGUCUCCCCCAAAGCCCAUGCUUUGAAACAGUACUGGAGCAUAGAAGAGAAUGGCAUUUAUGCCAGUUAAGAUUUGUGAAGUUGGCAUGACAAUUGCCAUCACCAACUCUGGCCUAUACUUUCUUUUAAGUAUGUUACGAAAUGGGUGCUUUAUUGAGUUCGCCAAUUCGCUUGCUUCAACCAUAUCUUCAAGCUCUGCAUCAACAUCGCUAGUUCCUCUAAUUUUCUCUAGGAGCUUUCUUCCUUUUUCUUGUGAUCCUCGCUGUAUUAAGCUGUUUGGAGUAUCAGGAAGAAAUAUUCCUCCUAUCGUCAUCAAAAGAGCCGGUAUUGCAGCCAAGCCUAGGGAUAAUCUCCAUCCCCACGGUUUAAUCCUUUGUGUUCCAAAAUUCACCAUAUUGGCUAUGAAAAUCCCAAAAGUUGUUGCCACUUGAAACAUCAUGUUCAAUCCUCCUCGCAGGUGGGUCGGUGCCAUCUCUGACAAAUAAAGCGGAAUUGCCUUCAAAAAAAGCAUGAGGGGGAACAUCGCAAAAUAUUUGUCAACUUUCAAGGUAUAACUCAAACAUACAUUAUUUCCCAUAUUUUUUAUGAACUAAUAUUAACAUUUACGUUAUUAUUAUUAACAAUUAGCACCCUUCAAACUAUUUGAUACUUGUUUGACUAAUCUAAAGAUAGGUUUUAAAUUGGAAACAAAGUUUCCUUCUUUCAUAGAAAAAAUUUACUUGUGUUCUAAACCAAUAAAGGAAAAAAUGUUUUAUCUGCUAAGUAUUGACCAUCAAUUCAUCACAGGUAGAAAAUAUGAUACUUGACACAAUAGCUUAACACUUUUAAGGAUUGAGAUCAUAGCUAAAUUAAAGUAAUAUGUUAUUACCUGAUUUCCAAAUCCAAUGCCAAUGCCGAGCAUAAUACGGCCAAAGAUCAACAUUGAGAGGUUAAUAGCUGAAGCAUUCACAGCUGAUCCAAUUAGAAAGCUAAUACCACCAAUGAUGAUACUUGCCCGACGUCCAUAUGUCCUUGUAAUGGUAGAUGCAAACAGGGAUGCGACUAAACCAGCAAUGUAUAAAGAAGAGGUAAAUGCCGCAAGGCCCUGGUUGUCGUACUUGCAGUAAUUGUUUUCAUGUGCAUGCUGUUUUUGAAUGUAUACUGCAGGGAAGAAUUCUUUAAGGAAGUCAUCCAUGGAAGUCACCCCACCUGUUAACCAUAUAACAUUCAUUAGAAGAAGAAAAACAUGAACACAAAAUAUUCUAACAAAUAAUGAAAUGGAUGUAAGGUUCAUCAACAUCUUAACCAACUAACAUUAAGACUAAAAGUUAUUGAAAUAAGGAAACAAAUCAAGAAAGAUAUUCUAAGAUAACCAAAUUAUAUCUUUAAUAUUUUCAUUACUAAAUCAGUAAGGAAACAUAGUUCCCCUUUCCUUAGUAUAUGACGAAAUGAGUUUUGAAGCUUCUUGUACAACUUAAUUAAAUAAUUUGGGGAUGCAUGUAUUUUCCUCCUGAUAGAGUACACAUUUAUGUGAUGUUAUAUUUUCUUAAUUAUUUGUACACGGCUCGAGAGAUUAGUAUUUGUAGUUACAAGCAGAACAUAGCCGGUUUACACAAAAAAAAUUAAUACCAGGUAGAAAUCUGUUGUUUACCAUUGCAGCUAGGAUUUUUAGAUUUUUAGAAGACGACAAAGCCAUAAUAGUUUUAAAUUUUCAUGUUUGAGAAUAUAAUUAAGAAUGAUAAUUUCUUGAAUCCGGAAGGAGGCUUAUCAACAAAUUGAGUUUAAUAUUUCAUUAAAAAAACACAUAAAGAUCAAUAUAUAUGCAAUUUCAUAAAGAUCAAUAUAUAUGCAAUUUCAUAUCUCUUGUGGGAUAUUUAACUUAUGAAAGAUUAAUAAGAAAAAUCUAAUGAAAUGAAAUAGCCUGAAAAACACUGAAAACAAAAAACUACAAAAACUUAUGAUUCAAACAAUGAAUUAAACAGGAACCUGAAAUUCCAACAUCAUAGCCAAAAAGUGAUCCUCCUGUAGCAGCAACAAUGCAUGCAAUGAUAACAUAGGGAGUGACCCUCCCUUUAUAAAGCUCUGCCCUUUCGUUGUCCACAUUACUUGUUGUAAAAGUCCCACCAGCCAUAUUCUUGAUUCACCCUUCCUCAAAGAGAUUCAUUCAAAAGAAGAAUGCUUUGUUUUUUCUAUCUUCAAGAAUGAAAAUAUCAUUCCUAUAUACUUCUCAUGAUAAUAAUUUAUAUCAAGUCAAAAUGUGAAAGAUGUAGAUUUGAUUUUGUAAAAUGUUUAACUUGUGAAAUUAUGAUUACACAUCUUUGUAUUUAACAUUCUUUCUUUAAAAAAAAAACUUUAUAUUUAAUAUUUAUUGUUUGGAUUUAUCUUCUCUCGUGGCGUAAAUAUAAUUUAAUUUAUAAGAAUUGACUAGGAAUAUUUUUUGGUCAUAUCAUUUGUCAUCGUCAAAUUUCCACCUACCAUUUUUUACUUGAUUCUCCUUCAAAGAAAGAAAAAACAAUCUGUGUUUGGUUAGAGUACAUGAAUGGAUGGAAGACUUUUUCUUGUAGAAGACUACACUAAAAGAAGCAUCAUCGUCCCUUAAGCACUAACUAUGUCUAUACUUAGCACACCUACUAACUACUUUUGAAAAAGCUAUUGCAUCAGCAUAUCUUUGUGAACAUAUGACAUGGCAUCAACAACUUUGAGAGGGAGAAAGUGUGGUAACACUUUAUGCAGAAAUUGCCUACCACAUUAUACGAGGUUUCUAUGGUGCAGUUAGAAAAUUGACUUUUUAAAAAAAAAAAUAUAUUUUGUUUAACUAAUAGUAUAACUGUCGAUGUCAUGUCAGCUGGUGUCAUGCUGGUGGAUCAUUUUAAAACUAAAUUUUACCUUAUUACAAAUCAGUCAUCAUACAAAAUAAUAAGGGGAAUUUCAAUCUUAGUGCACAAAUGAGAAUCUAUGUUUAAUUUUGAUUUAAUCUGGGACACAAUUGCAAUAAGUAAAGAUAAAAUGACACACCUUAUGAGCAAAUUUGCAAUACACCAUAUAAUCUGACAUGAUAUAAAUUAAAUACACAAAUGUUCAAUGAUUAACCAUUUAACUUCACUAGAAAAAUCAUUCUUACGAUUUCACCAUAUAAUUUUUCAUGUUAUAUAUGGUCUAUAUAACAACUUUGAGAGGAAGAAAAUGUGGUAACUUUGGACCAUGUAUAAUCCUUAUUUUUCAUCUCUACGAGAUUUUUAACUUUGUUUGUCUUCAUAAAUAAACCAACAUUAUUCUCGUGAACUUAGUUCAGUUGGUAGGGAUAAUGUAUAAUAUAUGCAAGAUUCGGUCGGAUUCAAACCUCUGCCACCACAAAAAAAAAAAAAAACAGACAUUGUUUCGUCCCCUACAAAAUAUUUCUGCGCAUAGUUUUAGUCUCUGCUAAAAAAAUGUUGUUUAAUUAUCUUUAAAAUUUUAAAUUUUUUAAUGAUUUUUUGCAGACAUGUUUAUAGCAUUAUAGAUAUUUGGUAGGGAUGAAAAAUAUAUUUAACCUUGUACACAUAUAUUAGGUUUUGGUGUAGUUAAUUUUCUUUAAAUUUUAUAAUUAAUAUAAAGUUUUUUAUUUAUAAUUUUUUAUUUUUUAUCCAAUAAGAAAAUAUCUACAAAUAAAAAAGAUUUUAUUACUGUUGUAUAAAAUAUAUAUAUAUAUAUAUAUAUAUAUAUAUAUUUUUUUUUUUUUACAAAAACAAAACGAUAUUAUUCAUUCAAAUUGAUAGAGUACAUCAUUUAACAUCGUGGAAAACUAAAAAGAUGAUUCUGCGAACAAACUCACAACAUCCAAGUUAAUACUACCUCCGUCCCUAAUUGUAAGAUCUUUUUGAGAAUUUUUUUGUCCCUUUUUAUAAGACCCUUUUUCUAUUUCUAAAUACAUUAAUUAUUUCUUUACAUACAUACAUAUUUAUUAUACAUCAUUUUCUUCAAUCAACAAUAAAUAGAAUAUUGAAAACAUAAGUCAACCCUCUUUCUUAAAGGAUAAAAUUGUAAAAACAAUAGUAAUUACAAAUAUAUUUAAUACAAAUAUCCACUAUCUUAAUUCCCGUUAUUUUUUCAAAAGGGCCUCAUAAUUAGGGACGGAGGUAGUAGCAUAUAACGACAUAAUGUCCACAAAAAUAUAUGAUAAAAUUAAAGUGAGCGGAAUAUCCAUGUCUCCGGAUCUACAAUGUUGAUGCGAGAAAAAGAUGAAGAGGGGGUGAUUUCAGGUCAAAAAUUGUCCCAAAACCAUCCAUCCAUGAUUCGGUUCAGCAAUUUGGUUCGUUUUUUUUUUCCACCCAUGGAUUUGACCAAAGAGCCCUUAACAAAUUUCUUUUCUUCUUCUUAAUCUUCUUUUUCUUUCUCUACGAUCGAUUUCUAGAUUUUCUCUUCCGCCAUUGCCAAACUCCUGAGCACUCCCCUCCAUUCGAUCCGCUCUCACAUCAUCUCUAUCAGUUCCUCGAUUUCUCUCCUCUUUCGUUGAAUCCGUUUUUGUCGCUGUUCAAGGUAAUUUUCUUCUAUUUUUGCGUCAUCUUUUCAUAUGCCACAUUCUUUUGAGCAUUAUCCCUUUUUUUUUUAUUCAAAAUUUAAUUUUGCAAUAUUGAAUCAAUUAGUUUGAACUUGUUUAGUUCAUCAUCAGUUUGAAUUCUAUAUACUGAUUUUGGUCUCUCUCUGUUGGUUAUUUGAUUUCUUUACAUACUAAUCACAUGCGCACAUCACAAAGUCUCUGUUUGGAUAAACAGCUUAACCUGAAGCUUAAUUUACAUUAUGCACAAGCUAUUUAUGUAACAAAAAAUAAUAUAAAGCUAAAUUGUAUCAUGUAAGCUAUAAGUUGUUUUCAUAAGCUAUUUUUGAGACUUAAUGAAAUAAUCUGAAAAUAGCUCAUGAACAAUGUCAUAAGCUGUUUUCACAAGUUAUCCCAAACAAUCUCACAAAAUUUAUGUCAGUAGAUUAGCUCAAAUAAGUCAAUCCAAACAAACACUUAGGGACUGUUUGGAUUGGCUUAUUUUUCAGAUUAUGCAUAUAAAUAAGUUUUUUAUUAUUCAUAAGCUUGUCAAGGUAGUUUAUGAAAAAACAGCUUAUGAAGAUACAAUUUUCGUUAGUGAGAACUUAUCAAUUAACAUAAAAACUUAUUUAUUUUCAUAAGCUCAAAAGUAAGUCAAUCCAAACGGGUGCAUAAGCUGUUUGAUAAGGCAUGGAACAAUCCCUUAGGAGAAGAAAAUGAUGAGAGUUCUUACAAUUUUGCAUUAAUUUUUUUUUAAGAAAAAUUCUCAAAAUUAUUACAGCUUUCUAUACAAUUCUUGUAAAUAUAAUAAUCCUCUAAGAAAAAUUACUUUAAAGAUUAAAAUAAUAUCACAUGGAAAUAGAGCAAGGGCAAUGGAAUUUUUAUUUUAUUUUAUUUUAUAGUAUGACCAAUUCUUAUUUUAUUUGAAAACUUGAUUGAUAAUUGAUUCUAAGUUUGUGUCCUGCUUCAGUGCCAAAAUAACCCAUUGAAGAUUCGGUGCCACUUACGUUGUUCCAAUACCACAACAGCCUUUGAAGCUGUUUCAUUCACACAAAUCCCAUGAUGACAAUGUCACUCAGAAGAAGAUCAACCUCGUAUUUCCGAAACCUCACGACAGAAACAACAACCAAACAAGAUCCUAAAGAUCAAAACUUUACUCAAACCCUCAACGAAAUCUGCACCAUAACCCGAAGUAAGCCACGUUGGGAAAAUACCCUUAUUUCACAAUACCCGUCUUUUAAUUUCUCAAACCCGAAAUUCUUUCUCAGUUAUCUCAAACAUCAGAACAACACCUUCCUCUCCCUUCGUUUCCUUCACUGGCUCACUUCACAUUGCGGUUUCAAACCGGAUCAAUCUUCAUGUAAUGCUCUUUUUGAUGCUCUUGUUGAUGCUGGUGCUGUUAAAGCUGCAAAAUCAUUGCUUGAGUAUCCUGAUUUUGUUCCGAAGAAUGAUUCUUUGGAGGGUUAUGUUAGGUUGCUUGGGGAAAAUGGGAUGGUUGAGGAAGUGUUUGAUGUGUUUGUUAGUUUGAAAAAGGUUGGAUUUUUACCGUCUGCGUCGAGUUUUAAUGUGUGUUUAUUGGCUUGUUUGAAAGUUGGGAGGACUGAUUUGGUUUGGAAAUUGUAUGAGCUUAUGAUUGAAUCUGGGGUUGGGGUUAAUAUUGAUGUUGAAACUGUUGGGUGUUUGAUUAAGGCGUUUUGUGCGGAAAAUAAAGUUUUUAAUGGGUAUGAGCUUCUUAGACAGGUUUUGGAGAAGGGUUUGUGUGUUGAUAAUACUGUUUUUAACGCGCUUAUAAAUGGUUUUUGUAAGCAGAAACAAUAUGAUAGAGUUUCUGAGAUUCUUCAUAUUAUGAUUGCUAUGAAAUGUAAUCCGAGUAUCUAUACUUAUCAAGAGAUUAUUAAUGGACUUUUGAAGAGGAGGAAGAAUGACGAGGCUUUUAGAGUUUUUAAUGAUCUUAAGGAUAGAGGGUAUUUUCCAGACAGGGUUAUGUAUACAACGGUUAUCAAAGGUUUUUGUGAUAUGGGGUUGCUAGCUGAGGCCAGGAAGUUGUGGUUUGAGAUGAUUCAAAAAGGACUUGUGCCGAAUGAGUACACGUAUAAUGUAAUGAUAUAUGGUUAUUGUAAGGUUCGUGAUUUUGCAGAGGCAAGGAAGCUCUAUGAUGAUAUGUGUGGUAGAGGUUAUGCGGAAAAUGUGGUUAGCUACAGCACAAUGAUUUCGGGUCUGUAUUUGCAUGGAAAGACGGAUGAAGCACUGAGCUUGUUUCAUGAAAUGUCGCGAAAGGGUAUUGCUCGUGAUUUGAUCAGUUACAACUCUCUGAUUAAAGGCCUUUGCCAGGAAGGCGAGCUAGCUAAGGCUACAAAUCUAUUGAACAAACUUCUUAUACAGGGUUUAGAGCCAUCUGUUUCUUCCUUUACUCCUCUCAUAAAAUGUCUUUGCAAAGUUGGAGACACUGAGGGAGCAAUGAGAUUGUUGAAAGAUAUGCAUGAUAGGCAUUUGGAACCAAUUGCUAGUACACAUGAUUAUAUGAUAAUUGGGUUAAGUAAAAAAGGAGAUUUUGCACAAGGUAUGGAAUGGUUGCUAAAGAUGCUGAGUUGGAAGCUGAAACCCAAUAUGCAGACAUUUGAGCACCUGAUUGACUGUCUAAAACGAGAAAAUAGGUUAGAUGAUAUUUUGAUUGUUUUAGAUUUAAUGUUUAGAGAAGGGUAUAGACUCGAAAAAAGCAGAAUUUGUUCUUUGGUCACAAAAUUUAGCAAAAAGAAUUUCCCUUUUCCUCAUUUGUGUUUAGAGGAGCUCUUAUAAAGAAAUUGAUAUAACUGAUCAUGUUGUUUUAUCUUCCAUGUACUAUUAAAUGAUGAUUUUUUAUUUUUUUUUGGAAAACAUGAAGCUAUAGACAUCUUGAUGUUUCCCUUUGUAAACCUUCAAGUUGUGAUAUGUACACAUGUCUUUCGAAAUAAAUUACCUCUCAAUUUCGUCAUGAUUAUUGAGAAUAUUUUCUGUGAGGAUUUCUGAAUUCGCGGUCCUUUUUUUUAACUGAAAGAGUUAUUUGCCUUGUAGUAAACUUUGUAGGCAUAUUAAUUUCAAUGAAACUUCCACUCUUACGAAGAACGUUGGAAAUUGGUAGCUGCCUUCUCAAAUACAGAAAUUGUACCUUUAUUUUUGCAAUGUGAAUUGUGCCUUAAAUGAUAUGGGUGUGAUAGAAUUGAACUAAGUAUCCAUACAUGAAUAUACUUGUUAGGUAUCUGGUGGUAUUGAUAGGGUAACUGCUGAUGCAGUAAGUUAUUUUAAUAUAUAGUCAGUUAUUUUAAUAUAUAGUUAUUUAGGAACAGUUAGCAUUUUGUAUAGUAUGCAGUAUUUGUGUUGAUUAGGAGCGGUUACAGGCAGUUUAUGCCCUUUGUUUGUAUAAAUAAGGCCAUUUGGCCACAACAGUGGAGAGGAUUUCAGAAUUAUUUAAUUAGGAACCUUGUUGGUUUUGGGCAGAGAGAGAGAUGUCUCUUCUCUGAGGAGCUUUUGCUCUGGGAUUAUAGAGGGAUAAUCUUCGGUAAUAUUUUCUAUUCAAUCUAUAAUACUAUUUAUUCUGUUUCUCUUUAAUUCGGGUUCCUAUCAAUUGGUCCGACCUACCGGAUACGAGAAGGAAACCAGUGUUAUCGGAGAUGGAUGGAAUAUGGACUUUGAAGUAUAAAUUAUCACAAUUUACUGGGGCGGAUCCUGCUGGAUGGAUCAAAAGGGCUGAAAUGUUCUUUGCAGAUAAUGAAAUUCACUCAUGUGAUAAGUUGCAGUGGGCUUUCAUGACUCAUGAGUAUGGAGGAUGAAGAAGCGUUGUUGUGGUUUUAUUCUUGGUGCCAAGAGAACCCAGAUGCUGGCUGGAAGUCAUUUUCUAUGGCUAUGAUUAGAGAAUUUGGAGCACAUAUGGAGCACCCAACAAAUAAACAAAUGGUGCAAAAUCAUGAUCAAGAAUCAGAACCAAAACUCUGGAAGAUGACAGAAAAACACGAUGAACCAGUAUUAGAGAAGAUCAUCAACGAUGGAGAAGGAAGGUACGUCAAUGAAAUUUCACCUUCGUCGGAAAAGGUUGUUGAUGCAGAAAUGGAGAACUUUGAAACAAAGAAGAGUCGCAAGGAUAAUAGAAUUGGGGGAAUUCAAAAUAAUUCAAUUAGGAACCUUGUUGGUUUUGGGCAGAGAGAGAAAUGUCUCUUGUAAUCCCAGAGCAAAAGCUCCUCUCUCUCUGCCCAAAACCAAUAAGGUUCCUAAUUAAAUAAUUCUGAAAUCCUCUCCACUGUUCUGGCCAAAUGGCCUUAUUUAUACAAACAAAGGGCAUAAACUGCCUGUAACCGCUCCUAAUCAACACAAAUACUGCAUAUUAUACAAAAUGCUAACUGCUCCUAAAUAACUAUAUAUUAAAAUAACUGACUGCGUCAGCAGUUACCCUAUCAAUACCACCAGAUACCUAACAAUACUCAACUUUCAGUUGAGUGUGACGUGAUACGAGCGAUGCUUGACUGUAGAACUUCAUAGAAUUGAUGUGCAGUGAGAAAGAACCAAUGGCUUUUACUUCAGAACAAACUAUGCAUUUACUUGUUUCAAACCCGUCAAGGCUUUUUGAGUUUAAUUAACUUAGAUAGGGGUAAAAAUCCUUUAUAUAUUACAUAGGUUGUUGCCAAACUUUGUUUAAAAGUUUAUUUGCAUUCUAAGUAAUUGUAUUGGAACCACAAAUAUUAAAUAUGCAUUUGGUUGUGAUUUUAUGUUUUAUCUGUGUAUUGGAAACACAGAUAUUAAACAAGUUUGUUGGAACCACAGAAUACAUAUUUAGUAAAUGAAAAAGUUAUCACCAUUGUAUUUGGAUCUUUGCACCUUGCAGAUUUCGAUCAGAAGCUAGUUUGCUUCUUCCAAUCCUCUAUUUGAACUUUGAUGUUCCUGACUGAUGGCCAACAUUAUUUAAUUAUUGUGAAGAUGUUUACCCUCUUAAGUUCGUUCUCUGAACAAUAAUGAAUGAAACCAAGUAAAAGUUGGUUUUAUUUUGAUGGUAUAUCUGUUUGGUGGUACAAUAAUUGGUAAACUAAAUACGGUAACCAUUAUUUGUCAGGUGACUAUUUUUUAUUUAGAUUAGAAUCUUUUCUUUCACAUUUUUUUAUUAAGAUUUUUUUACUUGGCUUUCUCUAGUUUGGCAUUAAUUGCUCUCAUCUUCAAUGUUGCUGUUGGAGGAUGGAAAGCAAAUUCACCAUGCCUUAUGUUUCUUGCUUUUUUUAAAUUUGGUUUGAUGUGCAUGUGUUAUCCUACAUUACAAUUUAGCCUGCAGCAUACAAUUUACUCUUUACCGGCUUGUAAACUUGGCCAAACCAAGAUCAACAGUUGCAGCUAAUACUCCUCUUCUUACUGGUGUGAGGUAAACUUUAUUGUCAUUGGACCUUUGUUUGUAUCAUAUAUUAACUAAAUAUGAUAGCUCUCAUGCCUGAAGACGCGUAGUUUGUGCUUGGUUUUCUUUUCCCCUCAGCUUUGUGUACAAAUAUUCUCUUAUAAUAUAUAGGGUUAAUACCUCUUUUGGUCCUUGCAAUAUUAGCGAAUUCCGGUUUAGGUCCUUGUAAAAAAAAAAGUUUAGAUUCUGUCCCUGUCAUUUCAGAUUCUUCCACUUUUAGUCCCUCAUUUAAACAUGUCAGCAAAAUCUGUCUGCAUGGCAUGCUGACUAGGACAUUUUUAUUUUUUUUCUCAUUUAAUUAUUAUCACAUGGAAUUUUUAUUAUUAACAUUUAUUUUUAAAAAAGAAAAAACAAUAAAAACAACAAAUUAAAAGACAAAAAUCACGUUUCUUCUGUCUUCUCCUUCCUCUCUCACGUUUCUUCUCUCUUCCAUUUCCUAAUCAUUAUUCAAACAAAAAUCACUAAUCUCUCCCCACAAAACCUCUAAUCCCCUUUGUUCUUAUCAUCAUUGUUCCUCUCCUUGCUCAAAUUCAUGUGUUCUUCUUUUGACAAUUUAAGAUUAAAACCAAAAGCCCCAAACUUUUGAUUAUAAACCUCAAAUUUCUUCCCUUCCAAAUUCGAAAUAUUGCUUUUUAUUUUGUUUCAGAUUUGAUGGUGUUUUGAUUUGAGAAAUCCUAACCCCUUCUACUCUCUAAUCCGAAAUUGGGUUCAAUAUAGGGUUGUUGUUUUCUAUUAAAGUGUUUUGUGAAUUUGUGUUAAAGCUUUCUGGGUUUAGGCUUGUUGUUUUCUAGGUUUAAAGACAACAAUUUAGAGAGGGAGAGUGCAUAUCUAAGUUUUGUUGUGAAUGAGUUUAGAUUUGGGUUUAUGCUUGUUCUUCAACUCAUGAUAAAAUUUUAUAUCUGGGUUACCGGCUUCUUGUUUUUUUCUUGUGUCAUUGCUGUUCCUGUUCUUGUGUCGUUGUUCCAUGAAAAUCAGGUUGUGGGUUCAUAUGGUAGAAACACCAUUGAAGAAGGCAAUUGGAGCACACUUAAUUUUUUAGGUUUUAUGAAAUUUUGGAAAGAUGGGUUUAUGAUGAUUUUCUGGAUUUGAAUGAACAAGAAUGAAGAAAUGAUGAACAUAUGUUUUGUUUGUUUCUAAAUUCCUUAAAAAAAUUCUUUCAAAAAAAAAAUUCCUUCUUAAAAUUCUAUUUAUUUAUUUUAUUUAAUUGUAUUUACUAGAAAAAGACAUUUAGAAUUAAUUAAUUCAAGAAAAAAUAAAUAUAUCCUAAUCAGCAUGCCACGUAGGCAUAAUUUGCUGACAUGUUUAAAUGAGGGACUAAAGAUGGAAGAAUCUGAAAUGACAGGGAUAGAAUCUAAACUUUUUUUUUUUACAAGGACCAAAAUCAGAAUUCGCUGAUAUUGCAGGGACCAAAAGAGGUAUUAACCCUAAUAUAUAUACUCUUUGUAAGUGAUAUGAAAUUGCUUAAACUACCUUCUAUUUCUGCUUUUGUAUUUGUUACAUACAACGGUUUAAAUUCUAUGACAAUGUUUUACUUUCCUUAUAAAAUGUCACGGGUUCAAGUUCUGGAAACAACUUAUUGUGUAAAAAACAGGGUAAGGCUGCAUACAAUACACCAAUUGGUGGGACCCCUUCCCAGACUCUGCGGAUGCGUAUGCGUAUGCAGGAGCUUUAGUUCAGUGGGCUGCCCUUUAUAAAACUGUUCUUGUUUUAGAGUCUACUUUGAUGGAAAGAAAAAGAAGUGAGAGAUUGGAGCAGGGAAGUUUAAGGCAUUAGUUUAAAACAGUUUAUAUUAUGAUGAUAGUCCAUAUAUCUUUCUUUGAUCACAGUAACUAUGUCUUAUAAUGUAAUUCAAUUCUUACAUUCUGUUUUGUUGAGACAGACAGCCUCAAGGUUAUCACAUUCCACUUUUAAUUCUGCAGAUUAAUCACAAAUUUAGAUCUUUGUCAAAGAACAUGUGGGAUGUACAUAUCAGUGUUGUUAAAUAGCGGCUGAAUUUGAACCAAUUGUUGUUGUUCCACGAUACACGGUACAAAAUAUUGUGAAAUAGCGAAUGUAGCGGGGCUAUAGCACUGUUGCACAGUGGAAUUGGACCAAACUGCUAUUUUCUGCGAUCAGCAUUUGACAACACUGGUAUUGUAAGAACCACUACUUCACAUCCGGCCUUAAAUUGAACAUUUACAUUGUCUAUUAUCUAUUUUACUGCACUGGUGGACUCUUUAUGUACAUAAUCACUAGCCUAGCCUCAUGAAUGCCUGUAACUGUUACAGACUAUUUAUGGUUUACAUGUAUUCCAUGAGGACCUUUUUUACCUUGCUAUAUGAAAAUGUGUGGUUGUAAGAAUUGUUUUAAAACCACCACUUGUUGCAUGUAAACUGUGUAUACAAGUUUCAGAAUUCUUUUAAAUCAAGACUGCAGUAAUAAAUUUUCCAGAAGAUGGUGGUCAAUUUUUUUUGGAAAAUGCAAUGAUGAUCAAAUAAUUAUUGUUUACAUAAUAUUUCUGUGGCAGGGAGUCUCCUGUGAUCUGUUAGAUGGACUGUAGUAUGUAGCUGUCACGAGCUUUGAACCCAUCUGUGAUAUGUACCAAUCAUAAUACUAACUUGGAACUACAAAUCAGACAUAAAUGGCACUUUUUAUUCUUUUACUAAGUGCAAAGGAGGCAUGUGUCAUGCUAUUUGACCAUGGUUGUCAAAAUCGCGACUUCAGUCCCAAAAUCCAGGUUUUUGCAACUUUGCGUAGCUUCAACGACUCAAAUCCAUAGCAGAAUCCCAUAAACAGGCAAAAUCCUAUCAAAAUCGCACAAAGUCGUGAAAUCCGUUCAUAAUUUUGAUGGAUUUUGAACAUUUUUUGAUAAGUGUCAAUAUUUGACCCGAUUUGAAUCCAUUACCCGGUUCGAUUUGAAUCCAUUACCCGGUUCGUAAAUUGACCCGAUUUGAAUCCAUUACCCAGUUCUAUAAAUACCCAAAAGGCUAAAUUUUUUCAUUCUUUCACUUCCCCCACACUUCCUCGUUAGUUACACGGUUCAUCUAGUCUUUGAGUCUAGGCUUUGAGUCCAUGACCUGGUUAUAUUAUUAUGACCACUAAAGAAUAUUUGCAUCUAGGCUUUGAGUCAUUUAUGUAUAUGUAUUUUGUGGACUUUGAACUUUAAGUCAUUUAUGACUAUAUGCAAUUUAUAAUAUAUAUUUAUCAUUAUUUUUGUUUUGGUAGAAUCCUCGAUUUUGAUUGCAAUUUUACAAUUCCCUAUUUUGCUAUCCUAUAUCGAUUCUACAAAAGUCCUCGAGUAAAAUCCUUCGAUUUUGAUUGCGAUUUUACGAGUCCCGAUUUUGCUACUCCCUUUCGACUCGAAGUAAAGUCUCGAUUUUGACAACCUUGUAUUUGACAGGAAGCUUUUACAACGAUUCAGCCAAUGAAUUAUACAUGUCAGGCAGACAAUAAUAAGAGAGCACAACUAUCAGCUGCAAAUCAGCAAAUUUCAAGGCAGGGGCCAAUUGUAUCUUCGGCUCUAUCUUUCCAAAACCUUCAUGUCGUCUACUAUUUUGGAAGCAGCACCUGCUUGUUUACAUUGUAUUUAUAUUAUUAGUAAGACAAGAAAAGGAUGCCUAAAAGGAAAAACCUGUGGCCUAUGUCAGUGCACAAUUUAAGAGCAAAGAGUCGUGACAAAAUGACAAUAUGUAUUUCAAACGCUCUCUGUGGACUAUGUUAGUAUGUUCUUCCAACCUCAUAUCUCCGAUAUGCAAGGAGCUGAAUCAGUGAUCAUGGACAGCUUCACAAUGGUUUGGCUGUGGAGGAGAAUAUAUGCGGUGGAGCCGUUGACUUUCGAUUAGAAUCGCGAGAAGAACGAAGGCACGAUGAGUUUUGUUUAUGACAACGAAUGGGGUGCGCAAUCAUGUGUCCUUCUCUUCUAUUUUCUGUGUAACUGUGUUUUGGGAAUCUCUUCAUCUAGUUUCUCUGAGUUUAUACAUCCUAGAAAUAUUGAUUAUUAGACUAGGGUUUUUUACUCAUAAUACGCCUUUAUAUGUUUAGAGUGUCAAAAAUUACUCCAAAUCUUUUACCUUUUGCAUGCUUACCAUUCCAUAAAGCUUUUGAUUUGUUGUAGUUCUGAGGAAACAAAUUAUAAAAGCUGCACUACAAGGUGCUUCAAUAAAUGCUCGAAUAUUUCGUUCGUUGCUCAUCAUGAUGGAAACGAUGAAUGGUUUUAUGAUGUGCAUUUAAUUUUUAUUUGUUGCUCGAAUAUGCCUUUUGUGAUGGAAUGUUUUUGUUACCAUUUACUAAAAACAAUCUUUGUAUGUUUGCUUCUGAAUGCUCCAUUACUAGGGGAAAUCAUGGCUAUUGACAUAUGAUAAAUUUUGUCAUGUAAGAUGGGUUCAAGCUGUCUUUUAGUGAUGGAGAUCUAUUUUGAUCCUCUGCUGGCAUGGGUUAACUGUUAAAGAGUGAGGAAAUUUAGGAAAAUCAAAUUUUCAUAUCAUAAAUCACAGUCAUAGAAGCAUAACCAUUGCAUUAUAGAAUCAAAUACCUAAUCAUCCUUGUGCCGCAUCAAAUCAAAUACAUUAAAAACAUAAAAAAGAACAACCUUAAAAACACAAUCUGGUAAAACAUAGCAUGCACUGAGUCUCUAACAGCCUAAACUCACCAAUAUUAAACCAACCAAACUAUCUAGGUUCUCAUAAUAACACAACAAUUGAUACUCACAUGAAUGACAAGCAUGAUAGUAAAGAGCAGAAAAAGAGGAACUGUAAUAGCUUCCAAGUUGUGACCAACUUGGAUGAACCAAUAAUGGUAUAAAGCAGUCAUGAAGAAGAAAUAGCCAAAGACAGAUCCAACAACACAAAGUAGCAUGCCAAGACGUAAGGUGUGGUGGUUGAUAUGGUUUAUCAUGUCUUUGAGGAAGAGGGAGAAGAUGGUGGUGGAAAGGAAAAAAGUCAGGGGUAACAUUGUGAAUGUCACAAUGUUUUCAUUCAUUGUGCUGUGAUCUGAUGAAGAUGAUAAAACAUUGCUUGCAAACUUCAUAAAGACCGUUGCCACUGAAAGCUGGGUGUUGAUACACACCAUCCUCUCUAAUUCAUCUAUUUGCUCUUCUGGAAAAUCCAUUGUUGAGAAGAAAUUGAUUUUGAGUCCAAGUAAUGAAGUUUGAAGCACACAUGGUGUAUAUAUCAACACACCAUUAAAUACAAAACAAAGGGAAAACUUUCUAAUUCUUCCUCUUUAACUAAAAUAGUAGUCUAUGAAAAAACUCUUCCUUGUGAUUUUCCAUCUAUAGUUUGCAAUUAAUGAUAUAAUUAUAACUAUGCUUAUAUUGAUCAAUCGUACAGAAGAAAAUAGAAAUCCACCAGCUUGCCAGCUAACUCAGUUCCAUAUUAGUGCAAAAAAAACUAAGAAAAAACAAAUUGUUUUUAUAAGGUGGACACUCCUUAAUAUUAGGUGGAAAUCCGUGCGUGCAAGGAUUUGAUUAUAAUGUGUUAAGACCCUUAAAAAAAAAAGUGUUAAGAACAUUUUAGUUAAUAAAAUAAUAUAUUGAUCGAUGGAUUUAAAUGGUAAAAUUACAAACAAAUUCAAACAUAAAUUGACAACAUAUAAC
rnacentral:lncRNA from 1 species